rnacentral:lncRNA from 1 species
CAGGGAAGUGAAGUAGUUGAAGGAAUAAUGGUUGAUGAUGAUUUCUUUCGUGGAAAUGAUGUGCAUUUAAGUGCUAAAGCAUUUUCACUGAUGACCAACCUAAGAUUGCUCAAAAUCAAUAAUGUGCAACUUCCUAAAGGCCUAGAAUACCUCUCGAACAGGUUGCGAUUACUUGAUUGGCAUCGGUAUCCUUUGAAAUCUUUGCCAUCAAAUUUGCAAUUGGAUAAAACUGUUAAAUUUAAAAUGUGCUACAGCCGCAUUGAAGAAUUAUGGAAGGGAAUCAAAGUAAGAUCAAUUUUUUUUUUGGUCACUAAUUUAUAUUUUUCAGUGAAUAAUUGUUGAUAACAAUUUAUUAUUAUAGUAGUAUAUGAAUUAAGAAAUAUCAUUUUAGCUCCUUUUUUUGUUUUCAACAGCCUUUAAACAUGUUGAGAGUCUUGAAACUCAGCCAUUCGGAGAAUCUGAUUAAGACACCAGACUUCACAAAGGUCCCAAACUUAGAGGUGUUGGAUCUUGAAGGAUGUACAAGGUUGCGUGAAAUUCACCAGUCUUUGCUACGUCACAAUAAGCUGAUCUUGUUGAAUUUGAAAGGUUGUACAAGUCUUACAACUCUUCCGGGUGAGAUAUUUAUGAAAUCGCUUAAAACACUUGUUCUUUCUGGUUGCUUGAAAUUGAGGAAACUUCCACGCGUUGUGGGGAGUAUGGAGUGUCUACGGGAACUUCUUUUGGAUGAAACUGAUAUCAAAGAACUGCCAGUUUCAAUUGAGCUUAUGUCUGGCCUUGUUUCGUUGAAUUUGAAAGAUUGCAGAAAUCUUGCGACUCUUCCAAUUACAAUAGGCAAUUUAGAAUGUCUACAAACGCUCGUGCUAUCUGGUUGCUCGAAAAUAGUGAAAUUUCCAGAGACUGUGAUGAGUGUGGAAGAUCUGUCAAAGCUCUUUUUAGAUGGAACUUCUAUCACAGAAGUGCCAUCAUCUAUAGAGCUUUUGACCAAACUUCAAUGGUUGAAUUUGAAUGACUGCAGAAGUCUCGUGAGACUUCCUAGCAGUAUAAAUGGUUUGAAAUCCCUCAAAACUUUGAAUCUCUCAGGCUGCUUCAAACUUGAAAAUGUGCCUGAGACGCUUGGGCAAGUAGAAAGUUUGGAAAAACUUGAUAUAAGUGGUACAGCUAUAAGGCAACCUCCAUCGUCGAUUUUUCUUAUGAAGAAUCUUAAAGAACUAUCUUGUCGUGGGUGCAAAGGAUCACCAUCAUCUACAUCAUGGUUUCUGCGCUUUCCUAUCAAUUUGAUGCCAUGGAGUUCAGAUCCGGUGGCUUUGAGUUUGCCGUCUUCUCUGUCAGGUUUGUGUAGUUUAACAAAAUUGGAUAUCAGUUACUGUGAUCUAGGGGAAGGAGCAAUCCCAAGUAGUAUUGGCGACUUAUGCUCAUUAGAAGAGUUACAUCUGAGUGGAAACAAUUUUGUUACGCUGCCGGCAAGCAUCUACCGUCUUUCUAGUCUUCGGGGGAUUAAAUUAGAGGAAUGCAAAAUGCUUCAAAAUCUGCCUCGACUUCCAGCCAGUAUACAAGGCAUUUCGUUAGACGGUUGUGUUUCGUUGGAGACAUUAUCAGAUGUGUUAAAUUUAAACGAGCAUCAAAUCCCGAACAUACACGUUCAUUGUGUGGAUUGCUUGAAAUUGGCUGGCAACUAUGAUUUGGCGCUUUCACUGCUGAAAGAGUACAUUAAAAAUUCUGAGGUCAGUCUCUCACUCUCACCUGUGCUACAUUAUGCCUAAAACUGAUGCAAUACAUGUUACUGUCGGACAAGUACAUUGAACAGACUAAUGUCAGUUUCUUACACUGUCUCUCACCUGUUGCUAAAAUUAUGCCUAAAAAUUAUGCAUUGGUAUGGCUUUCUAAUAUAUAUAUAUAUAUAUAUAUAUAUAUAUAUAUAUAUAUAUAUAUAUAUAUAUAUGUAUGUAUAUAUUUUUUGGUGGGUUUCAGUGCAGUUGGAGAGAUUUUUGCAUUGUUGUUCCUGGAAGUGAAAUCCCAGAGUGGUUCGAGUAUCAGAAUAAUGAGGGUUCUUCAAUAACAAUAAGCACGCCUCCAAAGACGUAUAAGAAUAGUAAGCUUGUGGGAUAUGCUGCGUGCUGUGUUUUUCGUAUCCCUAAAUAUUCACUUCCAUAUCCCGAACAUGAUCUGUGUGUCUGGUCUACCGACGGGUAUGGACCGUAUGGUUAUCGAAUUUCGUUUGGAAAGCAAUUCGGUCAGGCUGUGUCAGACCAUCUUUUCCUAUGCUACAAGAAUAGGGAAGAUAUUAGUGAAGUGGAAUUUUCUUCGCGGUCGGGAUUGGAGUUGAAGAGGUGCGGUUUGCAUCCAAUAUAUGUGCAUCAAGGGGAUAAGUUCAACCAAACAAGUGAUCCGGUUUGGAAUUUGAACGAAUUCGGUCACGAUUGUUUAGGUUCAACAUCCUUUAUGCGUAGCCUUAAUGAUGACUUAGACAGGGCAGAAGGCAGUGGAAGUUGCUGCGGGGAUGAUGCAGGAGGAACGACGUCGUCUGAGCGAAGCUUUCUAAAGCGAAGUCUUGAAGGAUAUGUUGGGGCGGCUGAAGCUAGUGGAAGUGGCUGCUGUAAUGAUGAGGAGGAACCACAACCUAAAAGAUUUAGACAACUCGAAUGAAGGGCACAUAAUUUAUUUUUCUCUGCAGAUCGCAUUUCAUUUACUUUCUUUGUAUUUAUUUAUUGUAUCUGUUCUUGUUACUUAUUUCCCUGUUAAAUUACCAGAAAAUGCCUGGCUUGGGUCAAACAGUUGGACAGAUGUUUUAUUACUCUGUUUUUUCUGCUUUGCUUUAUUACUCUGUUUUUCCUGCAAAAGAUGUCGUACAUAGAUGCGGUGAGCGCGAGUUGUUUGGUAUACUUGAAGGGGCUCGCUCGGGACCACAAUGACUAAUUAUUUAAUGUUGUGUGUUAAAUAUUAAAAUAUGCGGAUAGCUUAUUGCUUUUGAGACCUAAGAGUCAUUGAUACUCUGUUUUUUCAACCUAAAAGUAUUUAUUUAAUCUUAGGGUGAUUGAAAACAAAUUGACGAAUUACCAUUAAACAAGCAACAAAAUAACAAAUUCUUUGAAAAGAAAGUAUAUAAUAGAAAGAAGAAAUUAUCACAUAAAAAAAAAAUGUUCCAGUUUUUGCCUUUAGCCUCUCCUCCCCAAGUUGUCGGGCAUGGACUUGCUUUCGCUUCCGAAAGGAAAAAAUAAAAUAAACAUAUGUAUAUUAACAUAAUUUUAAUCUUCAAAAAAUAUUUUAAUACUUUACAGUAUUAUAUUAUAUUAAACUAAAUUUUAUAAUGGAUAUAAACAUAAUAUUAAAAUAAAUAUAUAAAGAUUCAAUUAUUUUAAAUUUAUAUAAAAUAAUUUUAAUAUUAUCAAUACAUGAGAUAUUUUUUAUUAGUUGUAAAAUCUAUUUAACCCAAAUAUUUAUUUAAAAAUUUAAUAUUAACCAUUAGAUUGUGAAAGAUUAAUGGCUCAUUUUUUGUGUCAAAAUUUAAGUUAAAAUAUCCAAAACCAUGCUUUCAUAACGAGAAUAUAAAAUAAAUAGAUAAUAUUUCAUGAAUAUUAUUGGAGGUAAUAUUUACUUAUUAUAUUAAUUACCAUCAUAAAUGCAAUCAGCCUCUUGGUGACAUAAAAUUUUGUAACCACAAUCAAUUAAUAUCAACAAAACAAUCUUUCAUGAUUCAUAAACUAUAUAGCUAAUUAAGAAUUUAUGUUAAUUUCAACUUUACGAAAUCAACAAAGUGAUAUUGGAAAAUUAAAUGAAAAUAGGCUUGUAAAACUUAAACUUAUAUUCCUACCAUAUAAAAGUAUUCACUGUAACAUAAUCCAUAAUUUCAUGGUAUAGGUUGUGCUAAAUUGAUGUGAAAAAUAAUAUACACUUCAUGAUUAAUCAUCCAAUGAUCCUUAAUAAUAUACAAAAUAGUGAGCAUUAUGUUAAAUUUUAUUAAAGCAUGACAAAUGUGAAGAAUGACAGGGGCAGCAGCUGCAGACGGUGGACGUGAGGUGGCUUCGGGUUUUGCUAUUUUUCUAACUUUUUCUUCUUUUUUUUUUUUAUGAAAGUAAUGGAUGGUGGAGGGAGGAUUUGUGUAUGGGGAAUGGUUGAUGGUCAGGAAAGCUCUGCCUAAUACAAAGAAAGACUCUGAUACCACUUGACGCAUCGCAGAAGCGAUACUAAAUUUCAUUAUAACAUACGUUCUUGAAAAUUCAAGAAAAAAGGCUCUUACGAAGAAGAAAGUAUCUCAAUUAAGAAAUAUUAAAUAUUAUUGAUGAGAAGCUUAUGUAUGUUAUAAAGAACUAUCAGUAAGAAGCCUAUAUAUACUAAGUAGCCAACUUAAUCUUAAUCCUUCUUAAAUAAAAUAAAUAAUUUAAAAUCCUAAUUAGAUUAGAAUUCCAAACAUGAUCGAAUAAGUUUAAAAAAUAAGAUAAAUUCUAAUAAAAUACUAAAUACCCAAAUAUUAUAAUUCCUAAUAAAUUCUAAUUUAUUUUAUCUAAUAUGCUUCCUACAUUACUUUAUCGCUAUAUUGUCUGAAUCGAUGUCUCUUUUUACACUAGUAAAAAAAUGACCUUCUUUGAUACUAUUUUAGUAUCAAGAACUUGUUUUACUGACACCGAAUUCAGUGACACACCGAAUUUAGUGUCACUGAAUACGGUGCAAGAAACUUACUGACACAAGUUUUUUGUAUCAGCGAAUCUAUGUCACCGUAGUAUCAAAAAAAUAUUGAUGCUUGAACAUCACAUAUAUAACGAGACUAUGUUAUCAAACAAAUAAUGAUACAAAAGCAUAAUAAAUAUAACGAUACUUUGGUAUCAAUGUUUAUUUGAGAAAAAUUAAAAAAAAAAUUAGAAAUCCAUAUAAUAGAAAUUGAACAUUUGCAAUUGGCAUUUGAAUUGAAAUUUACAUUCAUCAAUAUGAAAGCUAUUACAUUGCAAUGAACAAUUUAAAAAUUAUUACAUUGUUUGAAACUUAUUACAUUGUUUACCAACUACAAAUAAUUUAUAAUCUGAUAUAUAGUAACAGCACAAUCUUCCAACACAUGUUUAUUGCUUCGCGGAUUCUUUCUUUCGGUAAUCGAAAUGAAGUCUUCUAUUAUUGUUUCCAUGUUCCAAUUUGACAUUUGCUCUGAUUAUUUAGUUUUGACCCACAUACAUGCUUUGGUUUAUUGUAAGUCAUCCGGCACCAUUCAAGACAUGCACAAUAAAAAAACUGAUAAAAUUUACAUGCUGCAAUCUACAUAGUUUCCUAAUGGCAUAUAAAUGCAUGCAAGACAAGCAUAUUAUAUUAACAAUAAAAAUUAUUUAACCGUUGUCCAAGAAAAAGAGGAGAAAUUAUUAACAACAUCAUGAGAGGAAGUCUAACAAUACAGUCAAACAAACAAAAGAAAACCCAUGCUUGGUUGUAUAACGAGCAUGGAAAGUUCAACACAAACACAAACACAAACACAGAGACCAAUGGAGUUAACCAAAGUAAUGAAGGAAUUUCUGUGCAACUGUCAGUGGACACACAGAGCAAUGGAGUUAACCAAAGUAGAGCAAUGGAGUUAACCAAAGUAAUGAAGGAAUUUCUGUGCAACUGUCAGUGGACACACAGAGCAAUGUGUGCAUAUGAGCAGGCACAAACAUGACAUCCAAGUGAAUAAAUUUAAAAUAUUAUAUCUGGCAAUUAAAUCAACACAAACAUGAGAAAGAAUAGAUCCAAUAAGGUAAAUCUAGACAACAAUGAUCAAAAAGCAACAAGACAAAAUUUGAGAAACAAAAGGUGAAAAUAAAAAUACCAGGCAUUUACUCCAGUAGCACCAUGGAUCAUAAAAAUUGACAGCUAAAAUAGGAUACCUGGAAAGGAAAUAUAAUACAAAUCAAAGAAGGCAUCAUUGCAAUUGCCACAUAGCAGAGAAAUAUUGUGAUCACAGAAUUGAAAAUAAAAAUUAUAAGUUGUGGUUCAGAGAAGGCUCACUUACUCGUGUGAAUAACUAUCAAAAUUAUUGGCAGUUAGCGUAUGAGAACCUUCAACAGAAUCAUCAUCAGCUUCCUCUCCAUGCUUAAGCGAAUGUAUAACAAGCAUUGAGUGGAAUUCAGAACCAGUGGGUCUUAAAUCAGGUCCUAUAGAAAAAUUGCGAAUAGUUUUUGUUAAAUUUAAUCUGUUCUAGAAACAAUGAAAAGCCAAAUAGAACUCCAUGAAAGCAUCAUGUUACACAAACAAUCCAGGUGGACGAUAAUAUACACUGAAUAUGCAAAAUGCACCCAUGAUAUCCAACAAAAGAGGCACAACUAUGUAAGCGGCAACCUACCAUUCCAAAUAAAAACAACAUAGAAAGGGCUGCUAUUAUGGAUAAUCCUGCACCAGAUAGUGAUGCCUCUGUCAAAUCCCUUGGAAUUUUCCUGCAAACAGAAAAGAAAUAAGUAACAAUAUAAACCCUGUGAUUUUAUCUAUGUGAUUUACUAAUACAAAGAUACGGGUUGGAUUUAUAAAUUACAUAGAAUCACCAACUUUCAAGUAUAAUGAGAUGGACGAAUUAUAAACAUUAUCAAACAAGUAAAAGCGAGUCGCUAACAAAGAGCAAUCAAAAUCCACUGUCACAAAUAGCAACAUGAAAGUGCAUAGUUUCAAAGCUUCGGAGUUUGUUCAAAAUUAUAAUAUUUUUAAUUCACAUACUAUUAUACUAAUAAAAGCUCGAACAUAUUUGUUGUCCCUACAGUCAAAUAUUUAAUUUCAUAUUCUUCUUAAAAUGCAUCAAAAUCCAUACAUUGUAAGUAUAAUGAAGAACAUAACUAUUAGUAUUAGAAUUUCUUAAGCAUUCAGCUGAUUCACUAAUAAUAAUAAUAAUAAAGCCUAUACAUAUAGAAGAAUACAAUCAUCAUACAGCCAAAAUCAGUGCAUUACAAGUAAUAAGUUAUAAAAGGCACAAUUACCUCUUUAGUUGCAGAUGAGUAGUUUCUCAAAGUGGAUACCACAGGGCGAAGUCUCUGGAUUAGAAACGCGUUCACAAGGAACAAUAGUCAGCAGUAAAAAAAAAAAAGGGCCAAAAUGAAUACUAUUUAGGCAUACUGAAAUAGAACCUCCUCCUGCAGCCACUUUCUACCUAAUAAACAUUAGCAAACAGAUAAAAGCGAGUCGCUAACAAAGAGCAAUCAAAAUCCACUGUCACGAAUAGCAACAUGAAAGUGCAUAGUUUCAAAGCUUCGGAGUUUGUUCAAAUUAUAAUAUUUUUAAUUCACAUACUAUUAUACUAAUAAAAGCUCGAACAUAUUUGUUGUCCCUACAGUCAAAUAUUUAAUUUCAUAUUCUUCUUAAACUGCAUCAAAAUCCAUACAUUGUAAGUAUAAUGAAGAACAUAACUAUUAGUAUUAGAAUUUCUUAAGCAUUCAGCUGAUUCACUAAUAAUAAUAAUAAAAGCCUAUACAUAUAGAAGAAUACAAUCAUCAUACAGCCAAAAUCAGUGCAUUACAAGUAAUAAGUUAUAAAAGGCACAAUUACCUUCUUAGUUGCAGAUUAGUUUCUCAAAGUGGAUACAACAGGGCGAAGUCUCUGGAUUAGAAACGCAUUCACAAGGAACAAUAGUCAGCAGUAAAAAAAAAAGGGGCAAAAUGAACACUAUUUAGGCAUACUGAAAUAGAAGAACCUCCUCCUGCAGCCACUUUCUACCUAAUAAUUCCCCAUAUCUUUAAUUGUUUCAAUUAAAAUACUGCCCUACUCACCAUAUAAACCGCCAAUAACAACACUAUAAAUAACACAAUCAGCAAACAGCCAAAAAAAAAAGGAUACAUAAUCAUAUCCUAUUUAAGUGAAUGUAAAUCGAAGUCUAUAAUUAGUUAGUAGACAAUAACAUCGUGUUUACGAUAUGCGAAUCAAAACAAAUAUUACAUAUAAUUAUUUUAAAAAAAAUUACUAACCGGCUUAUCUCAAGCAGACAUGUAAUAAAUCAUGCUUUCCAUCAAAUCAAGCAAAAUUUAUCAAAAUUAAUCAAACUACAGCUAUAGAAACAAUAAAAUCACAUUCGAAAUUAAGAGAAAAUUAGAAAAUUUUCAAAAAGAGAAAGAAAAUCGAUGAAAGAAAUAGAGCAAACACUAACAUUUGUUUCUCUGGUGUCCGCGUGUUUCAACACCUCGAACAGGGAGUUCUCAUAUAGAUUUGUGAAGCUAGUUUCUUUGACUUGCUCUUCCUCUUUCUUAUUCCUCCUCAUCUUGUUUGACUUUUUUCAUCCUUUGGUUGUCUUCGGUGGUGACCGAAGAAUCAAGACCCAUACGCUUCAUAAAGUAAAACUAGGAUGAUUUUAUUUUGUUGGGAGACUGAGAGUAAUUGUUUUGUUAAGACUGAAAAGGCUGGGUGAUUAGUUUUGUUUCAAUUUAGGGUUUCUUCAAAUGAGUGGGAAGGAUUUGGGAGAGAGGGAAGAUGAAGAGGGAAUAGUACUUUCGUCAAGGCCAAAAAAUUUCACGAGUGCUGAAUUUUAGACACCCUAAUUUUAAAAGUAAAACUACGUCGUUUGGAAUAAAAAAAAUUAAAAUUAAAAUUAAAAAUAUAUAUCUUAGUAUGAAUAAGAGUUUAUGAUACUAUAUUAUUAAUAACCACUGGCACUAAUACGUAAAACACACUAAAAGUUGCUUAGGUCAUCAAAUACUGAUAUUUUUUUAUUUAAAAUCAGCAACUUAAUAUCAGUGAAAGUCAUUUUUUUAGUAGUGUUAUUAAAAAAAAAACAUUUUCUCAUCAUCCAUUACUAAGGCCCCACUCAAUUGCUUGUCAAUUACUUCUUGAUCAACAAGUAAAUUUUUAAAAUUCUCAAUGGUUGGUUGAGUUGGACAACCUUAGAUAGUUGUAAAAAAGCUCUUAAGCUCAAGCCUCAAACCAUUGACAAUAAUUCUCUUUAUUCUAAAUUUAGAAAUUACAGUAGUAGAAUCUAACCCAGAAAUUUCAUGGCAUAGGGAUUUUAACUUGUUUAAGUACUCGUCAAUCGUCAUGUUUCAUUAUGAAAUUGAUAGUAGCUCAUUUUUCAAAAGUUGUAGCCAUAUGUUAUUCUUCUUUGAAAACUCAUUGUAGAAGUAUCCCAAUUUUUCUUAGGUAUUUUAACCUUUUUUAUGUGUUGUAGCAUUUCUUUUUCAAUUGUAGUCUUGAUGGCGAACAUGGCCUUCCAGCUAUAAUGCUUCACUUCUUUAAAGCGGCAUCCUCAGUUAGUGGUCUCAUAUUGUUACCACAAACAAUCUCCUAGAGAUCUUGACCCUGUAAGCAAGACUCCAUCAAUGUUGUCCACAUAUUGUAAUUUUCCUUGUCGAGCUUUUUAACUCUUCCAACUACUUGAAGGUCACCCGUCAUAUUUUCAAGACUUUAACAAUGCCAAGCAAGCUUGAUGUUCACUAACGAACUUGCAAAGUUCCAAACAAAGUACUCUAAUAAAGUACUCCACUUCAAAUUUGAACCCAACAGCCUUUUACUCAAUAGAUUUUGACAAGUUCAUUCAUUUAGAUUAAGAGAAAAGAAUUGAUGGUAUUGUGCCACAGGGAGGAAUCGGUUCCAAAGUCUUUUUUCCACGAUCCAAUCCCUAAGAUCAGGCAACAUAUCCUUCACCGAAAAAACAUAAUGAUCAUAUAUAAUGCCUAUUGGAAUAUGCCUCCACAUUAGCUUCGUUUUCGUUUUCAAUCUAUCAUGCAUUAGUAGCCAAAGAAAAGUACAAAUGCAUUGUGGACUGUGUCAUUGCCAAAUAUGGUAGUUUUCAGGUCUAAAAUUUUAAAGUGCGGGAAAGUCUGGGAACACUUUAAAACCAUGCGGUGGACUGUAAUAAAUAGAUAAUAUUUUUUCCAUUCAUUCCCAUGAAAAGUACAAAUGCUUUGUGGACUGUAAUCAUAAAUUAUGUAACUUCUCAGGGGUGUCUUCUGGCCAAGAUCAGAGGUGAGAGGUGUGAUAUCCACCCAGUUUAUAUGGAGGAGUUUGACAAAACUACAAUCCAAUGGAAUCACUUUACCACUUAUAAUAUGAAUGGAUCCCCUCAAAUUUUUUUUGCAUCAAAGAUGGUUGUAGCAACAAUGUCAAGGCGAAACCUUACUGCAUAUGUUGAGGUGAUGAGGAACCACAACCUCAAGGAUCCAUUUAGUGAACUCAAAUAAAGGGAGAAGCCUGCUUAGUAUUCUUUGAAUAUUUCAGUAAGCAUGCAUCUUCAAUUUCAGUUGGCAAUUUUUAUUUUAUAUAUGUUAAAUUACCACAAAACCAAAAUAUCAUCUCUAAAGUUGUUACCUUCCAUGAAUCGAAAAUGCUUUCAUGCUUGAUCAGAUUGUUUAAGUAUGCGUUCCUAAAAUAUACAAAAGUGCUCAGGAAAAUGGCACGGAAUAAUUAGUGUAUAAUAAAUUUUAUUUUUGGUAAUUUUUUAGAUGCAUAUGGUUUUAAAGUUCUCUUCAAAUAGCUGGACUUGCCAUAUACUAUAAUAUUGUUUAGUAAGGCAUUACUAUCAUAUCAUAUAUUUUGUUUAUCUAUCAUUAAUAUUUACAUUUUUAUUAUUUCAUUAAUCUUAUUUUAAUUUACUUUGUAUUCAUAGACAUAAUUUAAGAAUAUAAUAUUAUUGUUCUUAUGUUUCCGUUUUCGUAUAUAAAUUCCUGGAAGAUGCUCCAACAUCAAUUUUGUCGUUAUUGAAUAAACAAAAAAAAAAAAAAAGAUACAACAACUGAUGCUCUCAUUCACAAAGAACUAGAUAAUGUUCAGGCAUUAGAUGACUCCAGACAGCUGCAAGCUAUGAAAGAAGAAUAUGAUGUUUUGAUUAAGAAUAAUACAUGGACAUUAGUUCCAAGACAAGCUGUCAUCACGUUGCUGACAAUAAAUGGGUGUGAAGGAUCAAGUAUAACAAAGAUGGAAGUGUAGCUAAGUAUAAAUCCAAGCUUAUUGCAAAAGGAUUUUAGCAAGUGGCAGGGGUGAAUUACUUUAAAACAUUCAGUCAAGUGGUUAAAUUAGCUAUUAUUAGAGUGGUGUUGAGCCUAGGAGUGAUGAACUAAUGGAAAAUAAGACAAGUUAAUGUUAACAAUGCCUUUUUUAAUGGAGAGUUAAAUGAGGAGGUAUUCAUGUGUCAGCCGGAAAGGCUUUAUUAAUGUUGAGAAACUUGAAUUUGUGUGCAAAUUGUACAAAUGUCUAUAUAGACUCAAACAAGUUCCUAGAGCUUAAUUUGAUAAGCUAAAAAGUUGUUAAUUGCAUUAGGGUUUUAUUAAUACUAAUUUGGAUACCUCUCUUUUCAUAAGAAGAAACACUCAUUACAAGUCCAAGUACUAUAAAGUUAAAAAGUUUUAUAACUCAGUUUAGGAAAGCAUUUGCCUUAAAAGACUUAGGAAUAUUAUCUUAUUUCCUUGGAAUUAAAGUGUUGCAAGACGCACAUUGUGUAUAUUUAUCACAAAGAAAAUACAUAAGAGAUCUGUUGUCUAUAGUUGAAAUGGUUGAAUGCAAAGGCAUUGACACACUUAUGGUGUCAAUGCCUAUGUUGGCAUUGACACCCCAACAUAGGCAUUAAACCAACAUCAUAUAAAUUAGCAUUAAGUUCGAUCAAAUUCAUAUUGUCUUCAAUAAGAUUUGAAAGUAAGUGAAGUUUAACACACCAAUAGUUUUGGUGAUCUGUCUGAAACGUAAUAGACAACACCACUUAUUGGAUUUUAUUUCCUAAAAUACUUAUUGUUUAAUUUAUAAAAUAUAAACUCAUUUAUUAAAAUUAAAUAUCUUCUCAUAAAUAUAGAUAUAAAUUAUGAAAUGAUGUGGGUGUAAAUUAUUUAUUAAAACCUUAAUUUAUUUAAGUGUUUAAUUGAAAUCCCAUUUAAAAUUUUUUAAAAAUUAUUUAUUUAUAGUUAUUCAAGUAGUUUUAAUAGAAAAUGAAUUUUAUAAGAAAUUUUAAGGGAUGUCGAAAGGCUACUCUUGAAAUAAAUGACCCAAGUCCAUUUGGGCCCAUGUAUAAGGAACGAGGUCUCAGUUUAAAGGCCGGAUCGGGGUCGAGCCUCAACUCACGCUUACAUAAAAAGGAAUGAGAAAAAAUUAAAAAUAUAAAUGGAUUUCUCUAUGAUGCUGUAAUUUUUUUAUAGCAUCAAUAAUGUUUUAAUUGUGUACCAUUGGAUUAAAUCUAAUGGUAUACAAUAUUUGUACUAAAGAAAAAAAAUUAAAAAUAAUAGUAAACAGAUUGUUAACCGUUCAAGGGGUGGAUAAAUUUUGUAAAAUAAUUGUGAUCACCCUUAGAGUUUGAAGCAAUUUAACUUAAAUAGCAUAUUUUAUUUAAAAUUACUUUUCUACUCUCCUUUAAAUUUGUAUUGUGAUAAUCUUUUUUAAAAUAAAUCUUCCAAAAUCUAUUAUCAUUAAGUAUAAAAUAUAAUAUGAAGUAGGUUAUUUAACACAAAUCAAAUAAAUAAGUUGCAAUUGUAAAAUUAAUUAUAUAUAAUAUAACACUAGUAAAUAAUACAACUAAAUAAAUAUAUUUAAGUAAAUGUCAUAGGUACAUCAAUAAACUCACUGGUGAGAUUGCUUGUAAUCUAAAAAAGACUUAAUCACACAUAUUUUAAUAAAAUUUAAUAUCUUAUAUCAAAAUAUUCAUUAUUUUAUAUAAUUUUAAGGACCGUUGUAUAAUUGAUUAUGAAGUAUAUAUUAUUUUUAACACUUGUUUAACAUACCUAUUCUCUCAUCUUUUUGUUUAGGAUUUCUCUAUAAUAUUGUAUGAGUUUUUACAGCAUUGAUAAUAGGAUUGUUGUGGACUCUUAGAUGUUAGGGUUUUCAUGUUUAGUAUUCAUUUGAUAUAGUGAAUAAAAAAUUAGCUAUUUAAAUCAUAACAAGUAAUCUUCAUGCUGCAAGUAAAUAUAGAUUUUUUUAUUUUUAAUUAAUUGAUAAAAGAAAAUUUAUAUUAUGAUGGAUAAAAAUCCCAGAAUCAAUAAUGGGAUCAUUGGAUUUAAUAUUAGAAUCUUCACCCUUAAUUUAAUUUUAAUGGAUAAGUAAUUAUGUAACAAGUAAUAUGCAAGUUGUGAUAUUUCUUCAUAUUUUAAAUUAUUUUUUAUCUAAUCAAUCAAUAAAUAUUUUAAAUCAUUAAAAAAAGGAAAGAAAUACAAAUAAUUUUGGAAUUAAAAUUAUUAUAUAUUAAUCCUCUUACUUUACAAUUUUACAUUUUUAUUUUACUUUUACAUUUAGUAUUAGAAAUAUAUUUAAUAGCAUUAAAAUAAAUGUAAUUAACAAGUAAUGGUAUUUCAAUAAUACUUUAUAUAAAGUUAUUACAUAAAGUCUUAUAAUAAUUUGUAUUGUGUGAAUUUAAUUACAAACCAUUAAUACCUAAACAAUAAUGAUAAUAGAAGGCAUUGUAAUAAAAUAUUUUAUAUAUGUUUUAUUAGUAAUACUAUGAGUCACAACAAAUGAGAAAUAUUUUAUUCACCAAUGAAAAAAAAAUAUAUGGCUAUAUAAAUAUAUAGUGAGAAAUAUUUUGAUUUAAUUUUUUAACAAAAAAUUAAACUAUUAAUUUCAUGCAAUUCAAUGGUGGAGGAUAUGCCAAUAUGAAAUGCUGCUUUGAUAUGACAAUAUGAAAUGUUGCUUUGGCUUUUAAUAUUAACCAUUACACUAUAAGAAUAAGAUAUUAAUGGCUAAAAUAUUAUGUAAAAAUUUUAAGUUCAAGUAUCCCAAACCAUGUCUUUAUAAUGGAAAUAUAAAAACAUGCAAUGAAUUUUUUUCUCAUUUUGUCAUUAAAUAUUAUUGGAUGCAAUAUUUUAUUUAUUGUACUAUUACUUAUCAUAAUAAAAGUAAUGACUCUUAGUAACAUAAAAAUUUUAUAAUUACAAUCAAAGGAUGUCAAUAAAAUAAUCUUUCAUGAUUCAUAAACUAAAACUCAUUAGGAAUAUGUGUUAGAUUAAACUUUUAUGAAAUUAACAAAGUGACAUUUGAAAAUAAAAUGAAAAUAAGCUUGUGAAAGUUAAAUUUUAUAAAGCUUGAAUAAUUUUCUACCAUGUAAAUAAAAAUAUAAAAAUAAUCUUUCAUGAUUUUUUCCCUUUUUUCCACAUAAAUAUUAUUGGAGACAAUAUUUUAUUCAUUGUCACUAGUAAUUACCAUAAUAAAAGUAAUGGCUCUCAGUAACAUAAAAUUUUAUAAUUACAAUCAAAGGAUGUCAAUAAAAUAAUCUUUCAUGAUUCAUAAAAUAAAGUUAAUUAGGAAUAUAUAUUAGAUUUAACUUUUAUGAAAUUAACAAAGUGAUAUUUGAAAAUAAAAUGAAAAUAUAUAGGCUUGUAAAACUUAAAAUUUCUAUCAUGUAAGAAUAUUAAUUAUAAGAUAAACAAAAAUAAUAUAUAUUUUAUAAUCAAUUAUACAAUAGUCUUAGUAUUAUAUAAAAUAAUGAACAUUUUAAUUUGCGAUUUUAAAUUUUAUUAAAACAUGAGUGAUUAAGUAGUUUUUAAGUUACAAUCAAUCUCACCAAUUAGUUUAUUAAUGUAACUAUGACGUUUACUUAAGUAUAUGUACUUAGUUGUGUUAUUUAUUAGUAUUAUAUCAUAUAUAAAUUUUGUAAUUGCAAUUUAUUUAUUUGAUUUGUGUUAAAUAACAUACUUCAUAUUUAUUUUAUACUUAAUGGUAAUAGAUUUUGGAAGAUUUAUUUAGAAAAGAUUAUCACAAUACAAAUUUAAAGGAGAGUUGAAAAGUAAUUUUAAAUAAAAUAUGUUAUUUAAGUGAAAUUGCUUCAAACUCUAAGGGUGGUCAAUGUGAUUUUACAAAAAUUUCUCCACUCUUAAACCGUUAACAAACUGUUUACCAUUGUUUUUAUUAUUUUUUUUCUUUAGCAAAAAUAUUAUAUACCAUUAGAUUUAAUCCAAUGGUACACAAUUAAAACAUUAUUGAUGUUGUAAAAAAAAUUACAGCAUCAUAGAGGGACCUAAUAUAAAUACAUACAUAAAAUUAGUUAAAUCAUUAAUGCAUAUAUUAAAAUUAAAAAUCUGCUUACGUUUAUAGUCAAAAAUCGCUGAAGGUUCUUUGCAUGUUUUCGCUUGUGGGGCUGUGGUCAGAAACUGUGAGGGAGAAUUUCUGGGGGAUUUCUCAUGUCCAUUACAUGUUGAAACUGCUUUUGUUGCUGAACUGUUGGCUGUUAUCUUGGCGAUUGAGCAUACUUCUUUUGGAUGUUGGACUAUGCCGUGGAUCAAAUGUGAAUAUGCUUUAACUGUGCUUCAUCUUCGUAAAAAGCGGCUUCCGCCCAUGGUUUCUCAUUCAUCGAUGGAAUAAUUGUAUUGCUCUUAUGGAUUCCAUGACGUUGCACUUUUCUCGUGUCUUCAGGGAGGCUGAUGGGGUAGCUGGUUGUUUGAGCAAUUUAGGUGCCAUGGUGGAUUCCUUUACUUGGUGGGACUCUGCACCCCUCAUGUUGCUUCUCUUUUGCAUGAGGAUGCUUUUAGGCUGCCUAGCUAUCUGUUCAGCUAGCUUUUGUAAUUUUAGUUUGGCUGGUUUUCUUGCUAUAUUUUUAUUUUAUUUUAAUAAAACCUCCUCACUUUGGUGAGGAUUCAUCAAAAAACAAAAGGAAAAAAAGUUAGAACAACCUAGAUCAAGUAAAUUAUAUCGCAGGGAUUUUCGAAGAAAUUCAAGCAUUGGAAGGAUGAAAAACAAAUAUGUAGAUGAUCGAUCUCACCUUAUAUGGAAUUGCAGGCCAAGUUCAAGGAAGGAAUUUUUGAGAAAUUAUGUUCGAUAAAAUGCCCAAGAAGGAAUGCAUCCCACCUGAUGCGUUGAACAAUGAGACGAUACAUCUGUUGCUACAAUUUAUUCACAUAAGAAAUUCAAUUAAAGCAUUUGAAUGGGAAAAUUUUUUUUUCUCUUGUUGCCAGGAACCAAAACUGUUGCCACUUUACUGGUAUACUCCGGGUGUUUUCCGCUGUUUCAAUUUACUUGCUGGUAUUUUAUUUUCGUUUGCUGAAGUAUGAUUAUUUAACAGCCAGUUACUUAUUACAAUAAGAGGCUGUGGAGUCAAUUGCUUGCAUCAUGAGCAUCCCGGGAACUACGAUGUCUGCUUGAGCUUUAGAGGUGAAGACAAGACACCCGCACUGCAAGAACUUUUCAGAUCACCUCUAGUCCACUUUGAAUAAAAUUGGAAUUAAUGUAUUUAGUGAUGAAAAAGAACGUGAAAGGGGAAUAUCCAUUUCACCAGCACCGUCUAAAGUAAUUGAAGAAUCAAGAAUUUCAGUUAUUGUCUUCUUAAGAAACUGCGCUUCUUCAACUUGGUGCUUGGAUGAACUUGUUAAGACUAUUGAAUGGAAGAACACGUCAUGUUCGCCAACAAUUGGUUUUUCCAAUUUUCUAUGAUGUUGAACCAACAGUGGUAAGGAAACAUAUAGGAAGUUUUCAAGAAGCGAUUGCUAAUCAUGAAGAAGUUCUUAAAGGAGAAUAUAGAAAGGGUGCAAAAAUGGAGAGGCGCUCUGCAAGAGGUGGCUAAUAUCUUUGGCUAGGAAUUGAAAGAUAGGUAAUCAUUCUUAUUCUCAAUGAUUAAUUUUCUAAGAUGUGGAACAACUAAUUUUUGUUUGUUCUGCAUGAAUCAUAAUAAGUGAGAAGAUGUCUGGAUUUCUCCACUAUUAAAAAACUGCCAAUAUUUAUUCAGUAUAUUUAUUUACUAGUUUCAUGUUCAGUGUGUGCAUGCGCAUGUGUAUAUUUGUAUCAACAAUAAGAUUGCAACGACCAACUUGCCUACAAUUUUCCAAUAAACUUUACAUGACAAGAUUUUAUACUAUGUUGUUGGGUGAAUGAUGUGGUAGAGCAGAGGGAUUCUAGAACUUAUCAAGUUUUUAGGCAUUCGAACAGGGAGAGACAGUAGAAUAAAUGUAUAAGAAUUUGUUAAAAUCAUAGGAUUUAAUUGAAAUAAUAACUUGAUCAAUGAAUAUCUACAUACGAAGAGUUAUAGACGAAAUUAGAGAAGAGUUACAUGAAGAAUAACCUAGAGAUUAAUCAAACACAAGUUAUGACUUUAUCACUUCCGUUUUGUAUAUAUAUAUUAUGUAAUUUUUUGACACUACGUUACGCUCACACUAGCUUUAGCUCACCAACACAAAUAUUUUCUUGUUCUAUUCAACCCGCAUGAAUGAAUCAGACUUUAUUAUGGAGAUUUUCAAUGAGAUACCAAGCAAAAUUCCUUUAAAAUCAUAGACUCUUAAGGAGCUAGUAGGAAUGGAUUCACACUUGGAGAAGCUAACGAUUCUAAUGGAUAAAGGGCCUAAUGAUGUUCGUAUGAUAGGGAUCUGUGAUAUGGGAGGUAUAGGUAAGGCAGCUCUUGCAAAGGUUGUUUAUAACUUGAUCUAUCAUGAAUUUGAAGUAAGUAGUUUUCUUGCCAACGUUAGAUAAACCUCAGAAAAAGGAGGUCAGAUUUCCUAACAAAAUGGAAUUUAUAUAAUGUUAUCAACAUAAUUGGAAGUGGGUGCGACACAAAAAUGUUAGCUAGAAAGUUCAGGCAGCAGGAUCAUCAUAACAUCCAGAGAUAAACAUCGUUGACAACACAUAGAGUGGACGAAUUGUUGGUCCUUAAGCAACUAUACUAUGAUGAAGCUCUUGGACUCCUUUGUAUAAAAGCCAAUAAGCUAGGGAAAGGAUAUAAGUAACUGUCGAAAAGUGUUGUAAACCAAUAAGCUAAGUUGUAAGAACAUUAGCUGAACAACAGCAGCAAAUUGUGGAACGUAACAAAUGUACAUCACGUGUUGACAAAAAACACGGUAAGUGACAAAGUGCAAUGCAUGUGUUUUGAGUUCAUGAUUCUAAAACUCAAGAAAUGAAGUAUAAAAUUGCUAUCAUUAUAUAAUGCAAAGUAAAACAUAUUCUGUAAUGCAGCCUACAUUUUAUUCAUUUUUUUAUGAUACACGUACAAAAUGUUUUCCUUUGCCCAAGCUAUCAAUUGCACAAUGUAGGCUUUCAAGGAGAUCCUUUGGUCCACAUUUGGUUAAUUCAAUCUUUGAUCCGAAGGAAACGACUUUGUGCCCUGAGAAAGGUAAGUGACAAAAUGUUUUGCUCGACAUUCUAUGCUUUAAAUCUAUGCAUAAAUAAUUUUAUGGACAUCUUCACAUCUUAGUCUGCACUUAUCAUCUGCUUUUAUGAUUUUUAAGGAACUGAGUAGUCGAAUGCAUGGUAUGUGACUUUUCAGAACUUAAGGUUCAUUCUAUGGACAUCUUCACAUCCUUUUCAGAACUUAAGGUUAUUUUUUAUUAAAUCUCCAAAAACACUGGUACUUUCUGGUUGCUCAAAGUUGAAGAAAUUUCCAGAGAUUGUGGGAAAUAUGAAGUUUUUGCGGGAGCUUCUUUUGGAUGGAACUGAUAUUAAGGGACUACUAUUAUCAAUUGUACGUUUAUUUGGAAUUGUUCAGUUGAAUUUGAAAGGUUGUAAAAAUAUUUAGUGUCUUCCAAAUUUUAUAAGUGCUCUAAAAUUUCCUUCCACUUUGAAUUUCUCUGGCCUUUUGAAAUUCAGAUUGUUUCUAGAGAUCAUGGGACGUAUGGAACAUAUGUUGGCACUUCGAUUGUUGGGAACUGCUAUAAGAGGAUUGCCAAUGUCAAUUGAAUAUCUCUCUGGCAUUUUUUGCAAAAUUUAAAAGGUUGUAAAUAUCUCUUGAGUCUUCCAAUUACUAUAAGUAGAUUAAAAUGUUUAAGAACUCUAAUGCUCUCUGGUUGCUCGAAGCUGGAAAAUUUUUGGGGAAGUAUGAAAUCUCUAACUAUGCUAAUUUUAGAUGGAACUGCUAUUCGAGAAUUUCCAUUGUCAGUUGAAUAUCUAACUGGCCUUGUUGUGUUGAAUUUUAAAGAUUGGCAAAAUCUCGAAUGUCUUUCAAGUCCCAUCAGUGGUUUGAAAUAUCUUAAAAUUCUGAAUCUCUCUGGCUGCUCCAAACUUGAAAAUGUGCCAGAGAACUUGGGGAAAGUAGAUAGCUUGAAAGAGCUUGAUAAUAGUGGAACAACAAUUAGGCAACUUCCGACGUCUGUUUCUAUCUUGAAGAAUCUUAAAGCAGUGGACCACAAUCAUCUACAUCAUGGGAUUUGUGCUUCCCAACCAAUAUGAUGUGAAGGAGAUCAGAUCCUAUGACUAAUUUGAUGUUACCUUCUCUAUCAGGCUUAUGUUCUUUAACAAAAUGGGAUCUCAGAGACUGUAAUCUACCAGUGGAAGGAGGAGAAAUCCCAAGUGAUAUUUGCCACAUAUGCCUAUUGCUCAAAAUGAACCAAAAUCUAAUUCCCAUACCAGAUGCAAUGUUGGCUGAAUAAUAAAUGAUAGUAUGAACUGUUGUUUCUUUGCAUACGAUCUCUCGGUUACUCCUAGAGGACUCGUGUACGACGUCCGGCUCAAGUCGUCUAAACUUAGUAAGUGAGUGCACGCGUUGGUCACGUGCACUCACUUAUACACAAUGAUCAAACGACCCGAAAAUACUGUCGUUUUUAAGAGCAUUAGUGUCAGUAUGUAGCUGUUAAAUCGGUUAGAAAGGGCGGGAAAUUAUUACAAACCCAUAACAAGCUGAUGACCGAUGACGUAUAUUGUAUGAUGUCCAUUCCGUAGCUUGCAAUUUUCUCUCUAAGUUUGUAAGUUGUUCUGAGAAAACAAAUAAAGCUUGCCAAAGAAGGCAUAGGCCACUGUAGCUAAACAUCUCUAGAUAUUGUGUUUAUGUUUUGAUUUUUUUUUUUCUGUUUGAGCGAAGCCGUACUGAUGAUGAAGAACCUCAAGCUACAAGGAUUUAGGAAAUCUAAUAAAGAGUAAAGCCUUUUUAUACUCAUGCUUUGUAUUAUGUUCAUGUUUCACUAUUACCUAAUUGAAAUUGCAUUCCAACUUGGAUUUUCAAUUUCUUGACAAACUAUAUAUUCAUUUGAAUUAUGUAAUAUAAAGAUUUUCGUAUCACUAGUUUGUGCUUAUUGGUUAAAAUUCUUUCAUUCUAAUAUAUCAAUUAUAAUAGGCAAAAUGACGUCUACACCCCCUAAAUUUUAGGAAAUGAUCACCAAUACCCUCAAAUUUUUUGAAAAAGACACCAAAACCCUUUAAAAAAUUAAAUUUGAAAUUUUUAAUAAAUAAAAAUAUUAUAUAAAUAAUGUAAUCUAUGCAAUAGACUAAGAAUAUUAAAAUUAUUUAAUAUUUUAAUAAAUUUAAAUAUGUAAAUUGUUAUAUUUAUUUAAUAAUAUAUUUUUAUUUAUUUUAGAUAUUUUAAAUAAAUAUUUGCAUUAAAUAUAUUUUACAAUAAAAAAAAAUAUCACAUGCUAAUGUUAUUAUUAUUUUACAUAAUAUUGAAAAUAAUUUAAAUUUUAAUACACUUUUUUUAACAUUAUGAUUCUAUUUAUUAUAAAAUUUAAAUAUAUAUACUAAAAUAUAUCUAAUAGAUUGUAAAAUAUUAAAAUAUUUUUGAAGUAUUGAAAUUAUUUUACAAUGUAUACAUUAUUACACUUAUUUUAAUGUUAUAUUUCUAUUUAUUAUAAAACGUUAGUGUUGAUUCUUUUUGGGAUAAUAGAGGUUAAAGGGUACUAUCGCUAAAAGAAGGUCUUGGUGUUCCAUUUUGAAAAUUUGAGGGUGUUGGUGAUUAUUUUCUUAAACUUUGGGGGUGUAGAUGUCAUUUUCCCAUUAUAAUAUCUUUUUUUGGCUAUUAUACCUUUUAAUUUUAGUAAUAUUAAAAUUGAUUUUAAAUUUUAAAAUAAAUACAAAUAUAAUAUAAGAAUAAAUAAACAAAAAAAAGUAAUUUUUAUUUUGGAAUUCCAAAUAUCUUGUUUUCAACAUAAGAAGUAUAGUAUCUCAACUAGAUCCUAAAAUAAAAAUUACAGAGAGGAAAUCAGAUUGCUAUUAUUAGACUAUAUAGGGUGCGUUUGAGAUUGAGGUUGAGCAGCUGUAGCUUUUAAGCUAUGUUGAUAUGAUUUUUCACUUGUAUAAUAUAAAAUUUAUUAUAUCUUUAAUAAUUUUAUCAAAAUUAUUAUUUAAAAUUUAUAUUUACUAUAUAUUAUUAACUUUUGUUUCAUAAUUACAUCUUUUUUUUCACAGCAGCUAUAGCUUAAAAGCUACAGCACCUCAAUCCCAAACGCACCCAUAAUAAUAAAAAUUAAUUUUUAUUUUGGAUUUAUUUAAAAGUAAUUGAUCACAAAAUAAAAAAAAAUUAAAACAAUUGACCCAGGGCCAGCUUCGUUCGUCCUUUUAUAGAGAAUUGCAGGUAAAAAUCAUGCCCAGAACACGUUUGAUAAAAUACCCAAUUGGAGGAAUGCAUCCACCGGGUAUGUUGAAGAGCAACGACAUGAUGUAUCUGUUGCUGUAACUUUGUGAUUUCCUAAGCAAUCAGAAUCAAACAGUCAACAACUUUAUGAUUUCCCAGUUAAUCAACAAAGUCAAUUAUGCUGCCACUUUAUGAUUUCCCAGUUAAUCAACAAAGUCAAUUAUGCUGCAACUUUAUGAUACAUCUAUUGCCACAAUUUUUUUUCACGUAGAAAAUUCAAUAAAAUUAAUUUAAUAAUGUACAGGCUCAAACUUGUUGCCGCUUUGCUUGUAGUGCGGGUUUUGGGCUCCUUCAAAUUGCUGGUUGAUUAUGAUUAUUUGGGAGCCAAGCUUUUAAGUCCAAAUAAAUUUUUUAGGAACUUAAACAAGAGGCUUUGGAAUCAAUUUCUUGCAACAUGAGCAUCCUGCAGGGAGUUCCUCCAUAAAACAUUUGUAUGUUGGUUUGGAUCAAAAGGGAGUCGCUGUAUUUAGGGACGACGAAGAACUCGAGAGAGGAAAAGUAAUUUCACCAGGACUACUUACAGUAAUUGAAGAAUCAAGAAUUUUAAUAACUGUUUUCUCAAGAAACUAUGCGUCUUCCACUUUGUGCUUGAAGAACCAAGAAUUUCAAUAAUAUCUUUUAUAAAUAUCAAAGUGAGGAAACAACUAAAUCAUCUUAAAAAGAAAGAAAUCAUAAUUUAUACUUAUUAAAAACAAUUAGAUCAAAUCUCUUCAUUGGCAGCUAACAACAUCAAUUCCAUAUUCAAGUCAGCAAGUUUGGAAAGGUCCAUCCGUUGCUUGGAUUGCUGAAUCGCUCUUUUGGAUAAAUUUUCCGUGCUUUUAAUGAAAGAAAAUUAGAAAAGAAAAUUAUAGAGAUUGAACAAUUAGCAACAUACAAAAAGUUAAAAUUACUAACAAAUGAGCAAUUAUACUUUUCCAGCAAGUGAUUUGUGGUUAGCACUUUAAGCAGCAGCUACAAUCACAAAUAAAAACACAGUUUUUCUAAUCACUCAAUCCGUCAAUAUUAGAGGAGAUUCUGUUCUCUUCUUUGCUGAUUUUGAUUAUAUAUGUACAGUUUUUUUGGUACUUGUUGAGUUGUAACUCAAUGUAAGUACGUCGGUCAUUUUAAUCGGUUUUGUUGGCUUUCUCUCUUCCACAGUACUUUUUCUCUGAAAAAGUAUAGGAAUGAAAGAUGACUUAAGCCCCCGUGGCUUUCUCAAUCACCCACUAGUUGGGUGUUCUCUACAAUAUUAUUUAUGCAACAAAUUUAAUUUCGGUGGUUAGAAAUUUGGUGAGAAGUCUUAUUCAUAGAAUCACAGCAUCUAAUGGAUGCUGAGGAAUUAUUACGCAAGUGUCAGGUGAGUGUUUCAAAAGAAGAGGAGGCAGACAUGGUAACAUUCAUGGGGCGGAUGAAGAUAAAGGGAGAGGAGGUAGCUGCAAAUUGUGUAGUAGGCAAAGUGCUAACAUCAAGAAGUAUAAACAAGGAGGGCUUGAAAGCUGCAAUGCAAAUGGCUUGGAGAACUGUCAAAGAGGUUAAAAUAGAAAGUAUGGGGGAUAAUAUUUUCCUGUUCAAGUUCGCCUCUGAAGAAGAAAAGAAAAGGGUGCUCAUGGGAGGGUCGUGGCAUUUCGACAGAGCAUUGAUAGUUUUGACCGAACCAACAGGGAUUGGAGAUAUCAAAAAUCAAUCUUUUACACAUGCCACAUUUUGGGUUCAGCUUCAUAACAUACCAAUAAUGUGUAGAAACAAGGAGGCCAUCCAACAGCUGGGAGAAAAAAUUGGUACAGUCAAGGAAGUGGAGACAGACGAAGUUGGGGAAUGUAUUGGGCAGUUUGCUAGAGCCAGGAUAUCCAUUGAUAUUUCACAGCCUCUAAAAAAGAUUGUAUUCCUACAACAAGCGGAUGGCAAAACUCCAAUGCCAAUUUUGUAUGAAAACUUCCGGAUUUUUGCUUUUGUUGUGCGCAUAUCGGUCACCAGUACAGGGAAUGCUUGAGAUACAAAGGACAACAAAAGGAGGACUUGCCUUAUGGUGGUUGGAUGCGAGCUGUUACACAAGCUGACAGGAUAAAGCAAAAACGUAGUAGGUAGAAAGGCAAUCGAGAGCAAUCCAAUCCCAAAGAAAAUGUGCAAGCAACAACCAAUCCAAGCUCAAACAACCCGAUUGAUCAAGACAGGUCAAAAUUGAACAAUUCGGAUCGGGAAAUCAGAGAUGGAGCAGAACCAGAGGAUACAAGAAACCUGCUGAUAUCUGACAAAGCACAUUUAAUGUUGACCUCUUCAGAGACGAAAAAUCAGCAAGUGGGGAGUCAGAGUAUGGGCUGUGACAUCGACGAGGUGCAGAAUAGGGUGGCAAGUAAUGAUAGCCACUAUAGCUAUGAAAGUACAAAGGCAGGAGAAAAGAUUUUGAAGGAGAACGAAAAUCCUGUGGAUAAAACAGGAUUGGAAAUAAUAAAAGAUAAAAGGAAGCAGAUUGAAGAGAGUGCCAGAUCUGAUGUGGAAGAAAUGGAUAGUGGGCCAAGCAAGACCAACGCGAAGCCCAAAGCGAGAAAAUGGAAACUUAAGGCAAGAAUUCCAAUAGCAAAAGGAGCGAAGAAUUAUGGGUUAAUAGGAGCAAAAAGACCUAGCAGUGAUGACCAUCAGCUCAGCCCACAACACAAAAAAAUAAGAGUGCUCAGUCCACCAAAACAAUCACACGUGGGAAACCACACAAGCUUAGCAAUAAACUCAGACUACAGCAACCACAUUAGCUCAAACAGAACAGCCCGGCAGCUACAAAUAACAGAAGAGAUAUCAGAUGAAGGGGAAUAUGUGGCAGCUAUGGAAGAAGAAGUAUCGGCGGGUGUUGAAUUUCAAGCCCGCCGACAACCAUGAAACUCUUAAGUUGGAACGUUCGAGGUCUGGGGAAGCCUCGAACGCGCUUAGCUUUCAAAAAAAUUCUCCACCUGCACCGGCCUCAAAUUUUCUUCUGUUGUGAAACCAAGAUGUUGGCUAGGCAGGUUGAAUCGAUUUGUAGAGAUUUUAACUUCGAGAAUUGUUUUGCAGUAGAUAGAACGGGCAUGGGGGGAGGUCUAGCUUUGUUUUGGAGUGCAAAUGUUAAUGUUCGCAUUACCUCAUACAGCCCACAUCAUAUAGAUGCAAUAGUGAGUAGUGAAAGUGGUUUGAGGUGGAGAUGCACCGGGAUCUACGGCCAUCCUGAGUUCAGCCAGAAGCAUAAUACUUGGACUCUCAUGAAAAGGUUAGCCAGCCUAUUUUCCUAUCCUUGGUGCUGUUUUGGUGAUUUCAAUGAGAUAAUGCAUAUGCAUGAGAAAACCAGGGGCAAUGAGAGAAACCUGAAUAGGGUUGCCGAGUUUAGGGAAGCUGUGCAAAGCUGCAAUUUGCAGGAUAUGGGGUGUAAGGGAUAUCCCUAUACGUGGUCAAACAAAAGAUACGGAGAUCAUUUCAUUGAGGAGAGAUUGGACCGAUUUCUGUGUAGUAAAGAUUGGGGGAUUAAUUUCCAAGAAUCUGUAGGCACAGAUCUAGUGAACUGGUCUUCGGACCACUGCCCAAUUAUUCUAGAAUUCUAUGAGCGAAGCAUAAAAUUGAGAAAUGCGGGCAAAUCAUUCCCCCGAGAUUAUUAUGAGGAUAUGUGGAGCUCCCACGAAGGCUGUAAGAGUAUAGUCCAGGAAGAGUGGAGUCGGUAUGGGGCUAGAGCUUGGGAAUCCCCUGUUCAGCAAUUUCAGCGAAUAGCCAAAUCUUCCUUGGCCCAGCUAAAACUUUGGAGCAAAACCGAAUUUAAUGGUAGGCAAAGAAAGCAAGAAAAGCUGAUACAGAGCCUCCAGGAUGCUAUGAGAGGGAAUUCAAAGCUGGAUGAUGGCCAGGAAAUUAGGAGAUUGGAAAGUCAGAUUAACUCUAUGCUAGUUGAUGAGGAGAUUUACUGGAAACAGAGUUCGAGGGCUGACUGGCUUAGAGAAGGGGAUAAGAACACGAAGUAUUUUCACGCCAAAGCAUCUGCCCGCAAAAGGAAGAACAAGGUGUGGGGGAUUGAAAACGACCAAGGCAUUUGGUUGAAGGAAAGGGAUGAAAUAGAGGAGGAGAUUUGCAGCCAUUUCCAAGAGCUAUUCACUACUUCCGGCCCGACUCCAAGCCAAAUCCAAGCAACCCUUUAAGGCAUGCCUGCUAAAGUAACUCCGGAGAUGAAUGUUCAGCUGGAGACGCUGUUCACCGCUGAAGACGUUGAGGAAGCCCUUGCCAACAUGUGUUCCACAAAGGCCCCAGGGCCUGAUGGUCUUCCAGCUGCCUUCUUCCAGAAGCAUUGGAAAUCUGUCCGUAUCGGAGUGAUCUCAACGUGCCUUAAUGUCCUUAAUGAGCAAGGUAACCCAUCUACCCUCAAUCACACUUUCAUUGCUUUGAUUCCAAAAAUUGCAAAUCCUAGGAAAGUGAGUGAUUAUAGACCUAUCAGCCUCUGUAAUGUUAUUUAUAGAGUUGUAGCUAAGGCCAUUGCAAAUAGAAUGAAGCCGAUCCUUUCCCAAAUCAUCUCCCCUAUGCAAAGUGCAUUCAUCCCCAAUAGGCUCAUUACCGACAAUGUUAUUAUUGGUUAUGAAUGCCUUCAUAAAAUAAGGCAUAGCAAAGGGAAGAAGAACGGACUUGUGGCUUUAAAAUUGGACAUAAGUAAGGCUUAUGAUAGAGUUGAGUAGCCUUUUUUGGAACAAACUAUGCUAAAGAUGGGGUUUCCUAGUAAUUGGGUAGCUUUGAUAAUGAGAUGUGUUACUUCCACUUCAUUCUCGGUGCUUAUUAAUGGUGUGCCAAAAGGAAUGAUCCAGCCGGAAAGAGGCUUGCGACAGGGCUGCCCGCUAUCCCCGUACCUUUUUAUCCUUUGUGCAGAGGCUCUCUCCAAUUUGUUGGUUUUGACAGAACAGAACCAGCUAAUCCGAGGUCUCAAAUUUGCGCGGGAAGUUUCAAUUACUCACUUGCUGUUUGCGGACAACAGCUUGGUUUUCUCUCGUGCAUCAGUGGCUGAAUGCAGGCAUUUAAAAGAAAUUUUUGAUAAAUAUGCUGCAGCAUCAGGGCAGAUUUUUAAUUUCUAGAAAUCCUCAUUAUUUUUCAGUGGGAAAAUUCCAGAGCAUCAAAGGGCUGCUAUAAGGGGUAUAUUUAAUCUAAAUGUGGUCUCAAAGGACGAGAAAUAUCUCGGUCUUCCAUCAAUGCUUGGGAGAAAGAAGAUGGGGUUCUUUAAUGACAUCAAACUAAAAGUGUUGAACAAGAUUGCAGGAUGGCAGCAUAAAAUAUUGUCUAGUGGGGGGAAGGAAGUUCUGAUCAAAGCGGCUGCCCAAGCAAUUCCAGCAUAUGCAAUGAGUGUUUUCAAGCUCCCAAGAGGCUUUUGUGAUGAUAUUCAGCGAGCUAUAGCGAAGUUCUGGUGGGGCUCGAAAGGGGAUAAGCGUGGAAUCCAUUGGCGGAAAUGGGAGAAGCUCAGCCAGGCAAAGAUUAGAGGGGGGUUGGGAUUUCGAGAGUUUACUUGCUUCAAUCAAGCAUUGGUAGCUAAGCAAGCAUGGAGGUUACUGCAGUACCCAAAUUCGCUAGUCUCAAGAGUCCUUCAAGCAAGAUAUUUAAGGAAUUCCAGCUUUUUAUGUGCGAAGGCAGGAGCCAAUGCCUCGUAUAUUUGGAGAAGCAUCAUGUGGGGUAGGCAGGUGAUUAAGAAGGGUAUGAGAUGGCAGAUAGGUAAUAGCAAGAAGAUAGCAAUCUUCUUGGAUAACUGGCUGCCAAGACCAGAGACCUUUAGACCUAUCUUCCCUCCAUCAUUGCCUGUAAGCUCAGUUGUUGCAGACUUAAUUAAGGCUGAUAAUCAAUGGGAUGAAAUAAAGCUUCGACAACACUUCAUGGAUGCAGACACAGCAAAGAUCCUCAAGAUUUCCCUCCCAGCUGAGAAAGCAGAAGAUGAAGUGCUUUGGCAUUACGACAAAAGAGGGAACUACUCUGUCAAGAGUGGGUACCAGCUAGCCUUGAGAUCAAAAUUUCCAGAUUCCACCAGCUGCACAUAGGCUUCCAUCAAGUAUUGGAGUGCCCUUUGGACAUUGGAGCUGCCUGAGAAGCUUAAAAUUUUCAUGUGGAGGGCUUCAAAUAAUCUGCUUCCAUCAGCGGAAAAUCUGUGGAAAAGGAAGGUAGUGGAGGAGCCAACUUGUAAGCGAUGCAAAAUAAGUGUUGAGACUAUCAGCCAUGCUCUCUUGGAGUGCAAGGCAGCGAGAAAGAUUUGGCUCCAAUCCCCCUUUUCAGCCCCUAGCUUAGAAGCUAAUUCUCAGGAGAUUUUCAGCACUCUGCAAAAUAUGGCUAAGGAGCUGAGGAAAUCAGAUCUGGAAUUAAUGGUAGCUCUAUGUUGGUCUGCCUGGUAUGCUAGGAACAAAUGUAUCUUCGAUGGCAGGGAGAUUAAUCCUCUUAUCUCAGCUGCUAAAGCGGAGUCAGUAUUGACAGCAUUUCAGAGAGCUAGGAAGCCCCAGCAAGCUCACAUCUCUAUCUUCAGAAAAGCGAAGCAGCAGGAGUGGCUCCCCCCCCCCUCCCCCGGAGAAUUUUUUAAAGUUAACGUGGAUGCUGCUAUUACUUCAAAGAAUCUGAGUGCAGGAGUGGGAGCUGUGAUUAGAGACUCUAAUGGAAAAAUAGUUGCGGCUGGGGUAAAUCAGAACCUCCUAAAGGGGUUAGUUAGCUUGGCUGAAGCAGAGGCGGUGCUUUGGGGCCUUCAGCUGGCAAGAAGUGCGGAUGUAUCCUCUUUGAUUAUUGAGUCUGAUUGUUUAGAGGUGGUCCAGCUAGUGAACAACACCAAGGGCAGCAGAUCAGAUAUUUUUUGGACAAUUCUGGCAAUCUAAAACCAGAUGAAGAACUUCCAGAAUGUUGUUGUCAAUCACAUUCCAAGACAUUGUAAUGCUUGUGCCCAUUACCUAGCUAAGAUAGCUUUGGGGAAAAUCUCUCCCUGUAUGUGGCUGGGAAAUAUUCAGCUGAAUUGUAUGGUAUUCUCAAGGUGUUGUGAUUAAUGAAAGGCUUACUUUCUUUUCAAAAAAAAAAAACUCAAUGUAAGUACACAUUUUUUUCCCCAACAACACAAAAAAACAAUUGCUUCUUCAACUUCUUCUGUUAUCCAUAUGCUAAAAAAAAAAAAAUAAGAACAUUGAAGAAAGAAGGCAUUUAUAUUGUCAUUAAAAGGAGGUUUUCCACUUGUGAUUUCCUUCCAGCCAUUAACGUAAUCCGACAUUCGAUCAUUCCAUUGCAUGACUCGUGAAGAACGGUAGGCUCUUGAAUGCUUUUAUUUUCUUUCAAUUUAAGAGGCAUUUACUUAUAAAAAUCCUAUGCUUUUCCUUAAAACAAAUAUAUUUUCCUAAUUAACUAAAGUUCUCUUAAAGCAAAGUACUUCAUUGGAAUUCAUCUACUUACAAAAAUCCUCUCUAUUUAAGAUUUGCUCAGGUACACUCUCCCAUCAGAUUUAGAAAGUCAAAUUUUCUGAUAUAUUUUAAAAUUUGCAGUAUGAUAUUUUAUUUUCUUUAAAGAAAGGAUAACAUAAAAUUGUGUAAGAUCAAUUAAAGUAGAAAUUUGAUUCAUGCGUAACUAUAACUUAAGUGAUCACAUAAUAGUUGACUUCUUUUUACAAUUUCGACAUGCUUAUUUCAUUUUUUGUGUAGUUUUUAUUUUGUUUUAUUUUAUUUUUACUAUUAUACUCUUGACUAUAGUAAGCCGAAAGUUGAUAUUAUAUUUUAAAAUAAAUAUAAAUAUAUUAUAUUAUUAAAUAAAUAAACUAAAUAUAUUAUAUUUUAAAAAUAAAAAUAAAUUUAUUAUUAAUAUAAAUAAUAUAAAAUUAUUAUUCUUGAUUAUUUUAUUUUUACUAUUCCCUGACUUUAUCACCGAGCGCGCAUCUCAAAUUCAAAUGUUAUUUUGCACAUGAUAAUUCAUUUACAUUCCAUUUAUUCAAAAAUCUGUUAUAAAUCAGUUAAGGGUUAGUGACGUGGCAUUGGUGUCCAUGUUUGUUAACCGUGGUUAGCACUUCAGCAGCAGCUACAAAAUAAACACAGGGUCUGAUUUAUUGUCAAUCUUUAAUGUGUCCGUUUGUCGGGUAGAGCGACGAGUUAAGAGAGUGUUUAUUGAGCUCACGCUCUUCCUUGUCAUUUCCUCUGUGAAUUUUUAUGGGUUUAAAUACUUGAACCUCGGAAUUGAGGCUACAAUGUUUAGUGCACAUAUGUUGAAUAUGAAUAUGAUCGAUCUCAGCUUGAUUUGGGCCCAGAACAAACGAUAAAUAGACAAAGGAAUGAUUAUAUGGAAUUCGCAGGCCAGGUUCAAGAGAGGAGUUGUUGAGGAAUUAUGGUAUAAUUCUCGUGCCUAGGACGUGUUCGAUAAUAUGCCUACGAAGGAAUGUGCAUCCCACCUGAUGUGUUGCAUCAACUCUAUGGUUUCCCACGCAAAAGCAAUCAAUCAACAAGGUCAAUUCGUGAAGGUUUGUCCUGCGUGAGUCAUAGCUAGUGAGCAGAUUCUGAGAGUCUUUAGUCUUUAACAGAAUUUUACCACAAACACAGUGCAAACCCAGUGUUUAUCUAAUCAAUUAUUUUCUUUUUCUAGCGGCUAACCUUUUUGCAAAUUUCUAAAUAGAAAUAUACAUGACAGAAUUUUCAUUAUUUGUUGUUUCAUGAAUGAUGUGGUAGAAUGAAGGAAUUGUAGAAUUUCUUGAGUUUUAGACAUAAAACAGAGUCAGGCCAUGGAAUGAAUGAAAAAAAUAUCAUCACAUUUGUUGGAAUGAUGCUGUGCUUUAUUCAAAAUUAUUUCUUCCACUAGAGAAGCAAUCAAUAAUAGUGUUAAUUCUUGAACCUGUGAAAAGCAAUUAAUUUUCUCCAUUUGUUUACUAGCAAUCUUCCAUAACCAUUGUGCUUGGCUGUGAAAUAGCCUAUUUGUGGCUGAACAUAGAAUCUGUUUUUUGUUUCUUUGUUGCUUUUUGUGAUCUUUGGCUUAAUUUACAAUUCAUGGCAUGUCUGAAAAUGGGUCGAUGAAUAUGUUAAAUAUGGACUCAGAUCUAGAUCAGAUUUAUCCAUGAAACAAUCAAGAGGAUUCAACAUUUGAUUUUUGUUUUUCUUUUCUCCACCCCCAUGUUUAAUUUUGGUCGGAGGACUUGGUUGAUAGGAAUUGACAACAAUUGAUUUUCCUUUUUUUCGUUAAACAAGAGACCACAAUGUCAAUUUGAAGACUUUGUUGAUAAGAAUUGACAACUGUUGGUUCUUAUUAUUUGUUUUUGUUUAAUAGAAGAUGCCUUGGAAUUCCGCAUCGUUGACAUGUAGUUGAUAUUUAAAACAUUUUGAUGUUAGAGCUUAGAAUGUUUGCUGUUGGAAUUCUUAUUAAGAAAAUUACUAUGCUGCUUGCAACAUAAUCAAAGUUGUAAGUUUUAUGCCCUGCAGUUCUCUUUAUUUUCAAUUAUGUUUUUGAAUUUUCAGAAUAAAUAUGAAGAAAAAGAUCAUUAAUUUCCAAAGCAGAGAAGAAAAUAUUUUCAGAAUUAUACUACAAUGACUAUAGGGAGAUCCUGAAAAUGAGAUUCUUGAUGUUCAUCAAAUAAGUUUUGAUGGGUCAAAAGAAACAGAGAAGAAAAUAUUUCUCGAUCUUGCAUGUUUCUAUGAAGGGAAGCACAGAGAUUAUGUGAAAACAAUUCUCAAAUAUUGUGAUUUUGACCCAAUUAUCGAAAUUGUUGGUCCUAUUGACAAAUCUCUAUUAACUGUAGAUGAUUUCGGCGGACUGUGGAUGCAUGAGUAGUUACAAGAAAUAGGGUAGACAAAUUGUUAGGAGGCAAUCCCAUCAGGAGCCUGGAAACUGCAAUAGAUUGUGGGAAAAAGCCGAUAUAUGCCAUGUAUUAUCACAAAGCACAAGUAGAGAUGGCAAAACCCCGGGCCGGGUCCGGGUAUUGCCAUGACCGGACCCUGCCCGGAUGCAACCGGUCCGGGUCCGGGUCUGGGCCGGGUUUUAUCCGGGUACCCGAAUUUUAUGUUUUUUAAUAUUUUAUGUGUAUAUAUUUUUAAUUUUUUGGUAAUUUUAUAAGUUUUAAAUUUAUUUUAAUAAAAUUUGACAUGAAAAUAUAAACUUUAAGUGUUUAAAACUUUAUAUAUGUAUAAUAAAUGAUUCAAAUAAAUAUAAAAUAUUUAAAAUAAUAUAUAUUUUAUAAUUUUUUUUAAUAAAAUCCGGGUUCCGGGUUUAUCAAGUGAUGCCCAAGACCGACCCGGCUUCAUACCCGGGCCGGGUAUUACCCGGCCCGCAACGCCCGGGUACGGUCCGGGUCCGGACCGGGCGGGUAUUUUUGCCAUCUCUAAGCACAAGUAAAUGUUCAGUUAGGUUGAAAACUUGCAAUUUUGGGAUCAUGAUCACUUAUUUAACUAGUUAAACCUUUGCAUAGUUUUAUCAAUAUUUUCUUUCUUUCAUUUUUUUUUUUUUGGUUCCCACUUAUUUUUUGUUAUAAUGUUUAGGAAACUGAUGUAGUUGAAGCAUCAUAUUUGAUUAACAACAAUGAGAUGCAUGUCAGUGCUAAAGCCUUUUCUAAUAUGACCAAUCAGACUUCACAAGAGUACCAAAUUUAGGGGAGCUGAUUUCUGAAAGAUUUACAAGGUUGCAGGAGAUUCACUCAUUUUUUCUGCUUCAAAGAAGCUGAUUCUGUUGAAUUUGAAAGGUUGUACAAGUCUUUCAACUCUUCCAGGCAAGAUCUUUAUGAAAUCUGAUUAAGACACUUGUUCUUUCUGGUUGCUUGAAGUUGAAGAAAUUUCCAGACAUUGUGCAAGUUCUUCCGGAUGGAACUGAUAUUAGAGAACUGUCAUUAGCAAUUGAACUUCUAUUUGGACUUGUUUAGUUGACUCUGAAUGGCUGCAAAAAUCUUGAGCAUCUUCCAAGGACCGUAAGAGCUCUGAAAUAUCUAUCAACUUUGAAUCUUUCCGGCCUUUUGAAAUUCAGAUAGUUUCCACAGAUAACUUCAAGCAGGGAUCAGCUCUUGGAGAUUCAUUUGGAAGGAACUGCUAUAAGAGGAUUGCCAGCAUCUAUUGAACUUCUUUCUGGCAAUGUUUUGUCGAAUUUGAAAGAUUGCAAGAAUCUCAAGAGUCUUCCAUGUAUGAUAAAUGGUUUGAGAUCUCUUAAAUUGUUGUAUCCCUCUGGUUGCUCCAAACUUAAAAAUGUGACAGAGACCUUGGGGAAAGUUGAAAUCUUGGAAGUAAGAUUGUCUUGUUAGAAUCAGGCGAAAAUGCAGAAUGACUUCAACUGUGUGGAACAGAGUGCAGUGGAGACAGUAACAAAGUUAGCAAAAGCAGAAUCGCUAAGGUACUUUACAAAAUUAAUAAUUUCCUUUAUAACAUGCAGUACCGUAUUACUUCUAUGUGCAUUGCUAUCAAUAUCUUCGACCGAAAGAUUCAGAUUCAUGGAAGAAGAAUGUUGAUAAGGGCAUCAAGCUAUCUACAACAGCAAUAUCAGCUUGCUCACUUGCCUGCCAUAGGCUGAUUCAAACCUCAAGAGCCAUGCCGAAGAGUUGAAUCAAAUAACAGCAAAUUCACAUCUUAGGUGGCCUUUUCUUCCAGCUUAGUCACUGCAUCAUUUUUUUUAUAGCAGGUUCGUUCUAUAAUAAUCUCAUAGGCACAUAUCAUGAACUUUGUUUUAUCAUGCUUGCAUACUUUGUUUACUUCUGCACAGUGAUAUACACAUUCACUAUCUCUAUUUUGCAUGACUACUAUAAAUUUAAGUAGAAAUUGAUUUUGGAAUAUGCUCUUAUCCUUUAUUAAUCAUAUAAAAAGUUCAUACGUGAGGGUAUACUAUUUACAGCUGUCUUGCGGAUGGAUUUAUAACCUUACUAAGUAAUAUUAUCAACAAUUUUUGGAUUUGCUGAUUUUAGAGCCUGGUCUUAGAAUCCAUAAUGCAUUGACAAAUACAGAAAUGAUCAAAUUGCUAGCCUCAGUAGUUGCUAUUUAUGUUAUUAUUGAAAGAUGAUUCAAAUUCUUUAUGUAUGUUAGUUUUUGUUUGGGCGGGAAAUUUAAGUUUUAUCUUAGUUGACUCUAUUGACCACCGCUUGUAUCAAAAAAAUCUGAAUACUGGUCGUACGAGUACUAUAUAGCAGACCCGAGGGCAUGCGAGGAGAGACCAAAAUCGAGUCAGAUCGAAGGCUUGAUCAAAGGCCAACACGUAGUUUGUCUCCAAGAAACUCGGGCACAAAGCCCAUUCAGCGGCAGUUACAUUGUCCAUUGACCCAUGAUUUCAAAGACGCAGCACGCACCUUUUCACUUCCAAGCCAACAGUAAUCGUGGGGAAGAUGGAGUCGAUGGUUCAGGUUGGGUAUAAAAGCUACGGAGAAUGGAGGUAAAAAGGGCUGGACAAAUUUUUUUUUUUAAUUUCCAUAUUUUCUCUCUCUUUGACUUUUUCUCUCUCGAUAAUUCUCUCUAUUUAUUUUUCUUCGUUUUGAGAAUUAAGAUUUCUAACUUUCAAUUGAUAUAAUUAAGUAAUGAGUUUGUGAUACAAGUUUUUCUAAAAGAGACCCAAUUACUGACAUGAGCGUUGGAGGAUUUUCGCCAAAAAAUUUUUGGUGCCGCUCUAAUUGGAUAUUGUGAGUAUAGGUGAUUCAACUUAGCGAGUUUUGGUUGAAGCUAUCUACUCGAGUGCGAUAGCCGUCGCACUGAAUCAGCUCCCUAGCAAAUAAAAUUUAAACGUUGGCGCAGAUGGCCUGGUCGCAGUUCCAUCGAUCAGAUUCCUGCAUCAACACCGUCAGGACUCUACCAAGUUUACCUCAAGUUUCCAUCAAGACACAACAUGAUGAUCCAUGUCACAAAUUAUUUCUAAUGUUACGAUUAUAUUUAAUGGAAAUGACUCAGAAAUCUACUUCUAAUAGACGUUUUUAGAUUUAGUCCCGUGUAUUUUAUACAAUUGAAGCUUCCAGGAAAUUUUGCGGUAAUGUCAUAUGAUGUAUUGUCGGUAGACACGAUGAAAAUAAUUAAAAUGUCACUUUUUGACCAAGACUUGCUUUUCGUUUUGUCAUACAAACAAACAACAACAGAGAUGGGAAGAUAGAAUUUGUGUGACGCACAACUAUGCUUUCUCAAUAAAACAGAACUUUAAUUCUCCAAAUAGAAGUCCUCUGCUUUCCCCUGAAUUCCAUUAAGUAGCUGCCUGCUACAGUAAUGAGUUGACUCUAUUGACCACUGCUCGUAUAAAAAAAAUCUGAAUAAUAAACUUACAACUUGUGAGGCUUGUAACCAAAAGAUGCCUAAAACCAAUUAUUUCUAAGAGAAGUGGACAGCUUGAAUAAUAAAUGUACAAUAAAAAAUUUACUUUUGUUGUGAUUUUCACAAAUGGAUUAAAAAAAAAAUGAUUGGCGGAUUGAAUAAUGAAUGUACAAUAAACAAAAAAAUUUACUUUUGUUGUGAUUUUCACGGACGAACAAAAAAGACAAAAGGGAUUAUAAGUGUAUUUAAACGGUCCAUUAGCCUUUAACAUUUACUUUCAAAUCUUUACUUAUCUCAACAAGAAAUUUCUAUAACUUUAAAAAAAAAAAUUAAAGAUUAUAGUGGAAUUCUUCGGAAAGAAUAAAUUCUUGAAAGAUUUUGGUGGAAAUUUUCCAAAAUAAUAAAAUUUUUAAAAAGAUUAUCGUGGAAUUUUUCUAAAAGAAUAUUUUAUUCACUUUGCCCUAUAAAAUGCAAUUACAUUGAGGCCGCCCUUGAUAAAAUACUAAAAGAAAUCAUUGCUUUCCUCAACAUCAUGUCGACCAUAACUUUGAUUCUAUGCACCACUAAAGACCAUGAUCAUGGUUCGUAAUUGCUUUCAGCAGACACUUUUGAUUACACUUUUUGUUUUUGAGAAAUUAAUUAGAGCACAAAACAUUCCUUUCAUUGAUUUCUUUGAAAGAAACUUAGGUCCUCUUAUACUGUAAUUUUUUAGUUUUAAAUUAUUAAAAAAAUUAUAAUUAUAAGAUAAAAAUUAAUAGUAUAUAAUGAAUAUAAUUUUUAAAUAAUAAUUUUUAUAAAAUUAAUAAAAAUAUAAUAAAUUUUUCAUCAUACAACAUAAUUUUUAAGAUAUAAUAGUUAAUACUCAUUAAACACUUUAGUAUUAUAGUUUAAAAAUUACAAUUUCCCAAGCUCAAUUCCAAAUAAAGCCUUAAGUAGAAGAUUAAGUAAAAAUUUACGAUCUUUAUUGCUUCCGAUAAGCUCAAAAAUGCCAGUUAAUUUUCUUACAUUUUUUCAUUUCAAAUAAAAGUAAAAUGCCGAAUGUAUUAAAAUUUGUCAAAAUUUUAUGCUAAAAAUCAUUAGGAGAAAAAUGAUUAUUUUAGCCAUUUUGAGUCCCCCGACAGAUUUUGAGGGAGAUUGGAAUCUUGUGUAAUUUUGCUGUUUGGAGUUAUGAUGCAUCUUUAUCGUCUUUUCUGUUGACUGAACUUGAUUGACCUCUGCAUGCGACCUCAUGUAGGUCCGUCCGCUGAAAUACGGGUUACGUGUUCUUUAAUGGAUCAACUCGACCCGUAUUUGACCCGAUAUUGACCCGCGUUUGGUUGGACCGUAGGAUGUAUGUGACGUGUCUUGUUGGCCGUUGAUCCGCCUUGUGUGAGGGUACUGGAUGGUUGACGUUGUAUCUGGACCACUAUUUUGAUCAUAUUGAACGCGGUCCAAGGGUUCUGAAGCUGUCACGUACUCUGCUACUUCAAACCCUUGUUUAAUUCAAUUUGGUGGAUCCAACGGCCAUUUUCCGCAUCUCUUUAAAAUGUUAAAGCAUCAUUUUAAGCUCUACAGGCCGUCGAGUUCGAGCGAGCUUAUGAUGGGUGUCGAAGCCAACAAAAAUAAAUUCCUACUCUAAAUAAAUUGUGUAUAGUGAUUGAGCAGGGUCGUGUCCACAGAGAUCGGUAAUUAUUUAAAUCCUUUUGAAACGUAAAACGUAAAAUGGGGGAAUUGUUGACAAUAAUAAAAAUAAAAUUAAAAAUAACAAGAAUGCAAAUUAAAGUUGUAAUUCAAAUUGGAGAAAGCUCUGGUUGAAGGAAUUACCUCAGCUUGAUUCGACUACUGAUCAUUGAUUCAAAUAUAGAUUAUUAUUACUCAUGAAUAGACCGGUUAUAGCUACUAAGACCCUCUAAUAGACAAUCUCUCCUUAACUAGUCGAUAACCAAGGUACGACCGUUGGUUAUUUCCCUAAUCAAUAGACAACCCUAGAUACGAUCAUAGAAUUUAAUCAAUUGACAGCCUGAAAAACCAGAGAGACCCAAAUCCUAAUCAACACAUAUGAUGAUUCAUUUAAAUUAGAUUGUUUAUUCUCACAACACAACUCUCUGCUAUGUUAUUUGUCACAAACAUUAAAUUCUUCAUACAAUGAAUCCUUUAAUUGACAAUAGAUUAAGUUGAUAAUUAAAUAGUGGUCAAUUACCUAAUUAACAAACAUAAUCAUGAAAAUAAUUUAGAGAAUAAACAAAUACCCAAAAAGUAAUAAAACAAUUAAAGCACAAGAAAGAUCUCACAGUAGUGAUGAAUCAAAGCUUCAUUAACCUUCAACCAGAAAAAUGAGUUUAGUUCCUCAUAGAGAGAAGAGAAAAAUUAGAUCUAGGGUUUCUUUUUCUCCAAUCCAAAAAUCUCCCCUUUUUCACAAUAGAUUACUCCCUUAAAUACUCUCUCUCUCUUCUCUUUUAGAAUUCUAUUUAAAAUAAAAUACUAAUAUCUGAAAUAUUAAGUUCGUAAUUACAAAAAUAACCAAAAAUACAAAACACGUUAAACUAAAAACUGCAGGUCCGCAGUUGACAGCACGCGCCCACGCCUUAUCAACAAAGUUCUUCUGACGCUCAUAAUUUCUUCAAGAGAACAAUCCUCCUUAAACAUCAUCUUUUAGCUCAAUUUUAUCACCAAUCAAUAGAAUUGCACCUACAAAAGUAAAACACAAGUAAAACAUUAUUAUUAAGUGCAAAACAUCGAUAUUAAGGGAAGUAAACAAUGCAAAACUAGUGCAUAAAUUGCACUCUAACAAAUUCCCCCACACCAAGAUGAUGCUUGUCCUCAAGCAUAUAACUCAAGAUUAAUCCCAAAUCUCCACUCAAUUCUCAUCUCAACUCAUCCAAAAUAAUUUUAAGCAAGCAUACCUCAAGAAAUUAAGUCGAUCAACAUUCGAGAGACAAGGAUUUUAAAGCAUAGAAUCUCAUAAGAUAGAAUAAGAACAUUCAACCACCAAGAAGAUCCAUUCAAAAUUCAAGUGCAACAAGAUGUAAUAGCCCUCUCAAUAACUUCACUCCAUGCACUCAAAGUGUUUAGGGUGUCAUUUAUCCACUCAAAUCAAAUCAAAGAAUGCUAUUACCAUAAGCUUGCUCAUAUAUCACAUCUCAAUCCACAAAACAUGAAUAAAAUGCAAAAAUCUAAGGGUCUUAAAAGGGUUGUAAUGGGGUUAAAUGGGUUAAAUGAAAAAGAAAGGUUUACAAAAGAAAAAGAGAUCAAAAUGAGAAGAAUGAACUCAUUGAAUGAACUUAUGAUAUCAAAAUGCUUAUUUCUACUCAAGUCACCAAGAAUGUAAACAUUUUUUUUUUUUGAUUUUUUUUUUCGAUUUUUCUUUUUCAUUUUUUUUCAUUUUUUUUUUCAUUUUUUCAUUUUUUUUUUGUUUUUUUUGUUUUUUUCGAAUCAAACAAAAGAAACGAACCUUGCACAAUUUAAUUCAAGCAUAAUGCUUGUUGAUCUAAUUGAGAAACUUCAAUACAAGGUAGAAAAAGCAACAAAAUGUACCCACACAAUGAGUCCAAAAAUCUCCUUAAAUUGAGGCUAAAAAAGAAGAAAAAUGGUUAAGUAGACGGAGAGAAUUAGAUGGGUAAUGGUUAAGGCUCAAACAAAGGUAGCAAAUAAAGGUCUUCGGGUAGAGAAAAAGGAAAAUGCGAGAAUAGAAAAAUGGUAAAUGGUUUGCCCUUAUCAUUUUAAUGCCUAAAAUCCCGUAAUGCGGCUUCAACAUGCAUAACAAAGCAAGUUCUAGAAUAAACAAACUAAGAUUGAUAUUCACAUAACAAAAAUAUUAGAGCAAAGUGGUUGCUCAUAGGCUCAAAUCCUCACAAAGUUGGUAAAUUUGCCAUCAAAUCAUGUACACUCUUCAAAUGAAUCAACCAUCAAUAGUGGUGUAGAAUGGGAAGAAGGUAUGAGUGAAGGAAAGGUAAAAAUGAUAAGAAGUGAGAAAGAUGUAUGUAGUAAUAUGAAAAGUGAAAGAUAAAAUGUGAGUGAUGAAAGAGUAUGAUAGAAUAAAAAUAGAUGUAAAUAAUUUGAGAUAGAUGGGAAAAAAGUAGUGAGAAAGAAAAGAAAAGAAAAAUAAUAAUAUAUGAAGCAUACUAACUCCAAAAUCAUUUAAGGAUGAGUAGAGUGAAAAUAGAUGAGUAGAGUGAAAACAAUAAUUCCAGACAUCAAUAAUGCAAAAAUCCCUCCCCCACACCAAGAACUGACAUUGUCCCCAAUGUAAGAUAAUCAAAGCUCACAUAAAAAUUAAAGCGUAAGGAUAAAAGAUUAAGGGCAAAAACUUCCCUGAAUUGUGAUCUUUGAUCCUCAUAACGUCUAUAGGCUUGGCGGGAAUGGUGGGAUAAAUCCCACACUCUUGAAGUAUGCGGCCAAAUUCUGCUCCAUCUUGUCACGGAUUUCGAUUCACGCGCCUGGAAUGCAGGUCGUAGGCUGGUUGCGUUGCGAUUGCUGCUCGGCUGGAGCUUGCUUGAUGGACGCGGGAUGGCACUGAUUGUGUUGCGCGCGCGCGCUGGGGCUGCUGGAUCUGCACGCUGCGUGGGCUGUGUUGCGAGGCGUUGCUGCUGCUGCUUCACGAGGGUGAUUGCUGGAUUGAUUUGUGCUGUGCGCGCGGGCUGGAGCUGAGGAUCUGUGUUGCGGGGCGUUACUGCUACUGCUUCGCGGGAUGUGUUGCGCGCACGGUUGCUGCUGAUUUCGCACGAUGGUGAUGGCUGGGGCUUGCUGCGUUGCGCGCGGCAGCUUUCGCUGGUGGGACUUCGUUGCGCGCUGCUGGGCUGCGAGACACGGGAUGCUGGUGCUGCGCUCACGGGAUGGUGCGUUUUCCGGCGGGCUGGUUUGUUGCAGGUGUGUUGCAAGCGGCUGGAGAAGAAAACAAGUUCUGGAAAAUUAGGGAUUUUGUGAACAGUGAAUAGUGAACAGUGAUUUUCGAUUUUUGGUUUUUUUUUAAAUAAAUAAAUAAAUAAAAAGAAAGAAAGGAAUGAAAAAAAAAAGAAAAAAAAUAAAAAUAAAAAUAAAAUAAAUAAUUUUUUUUUUUUUUUUUUUUAGUGAUGAAUCACUUUGAGACACUAAAAAUUUCAGAAGUACUUUUCUAAUAAGUACGUGGGCACGCCUUAUAAAAAAUUUUCUUCUGACCAAAAUAAGCAAACACAUUAAAUUUCAGAAGUACUUUUCUAUUAAGUACGUGGGCACGCCUUAAAACUAUGUUACUUUAAAAAUUACAGAAGUACUUAUUAGCUAAGACGUGGGCACGCCUUAUCAAAAAUUUUCUUCUGACCAAAAUAAGCACAAUUUUUUUUUUUUGAAUCAAAAUUAAAAGAAGAUAUAACAAAAACCAAAAUAAAUAAAUCAUUUGGGUUGCGUCCCAAAAAGCGCCUUUGUUUUAUGUCUUUGGCUAGACACAUUUAUGCAUCAAUCUCCAUAAUUGGGACUCUCGAGAGCCACAUCCUCCACAAUAUUCACCGAAAAACCUUCAUAAAAAGGUUUUAAGCGAUGACCAUUAACCUUAAAAAUUUUGUCAGAGGUCGGACUCUGAAUCUCAACUGCACCAUGAGGAAAAAUAUUAGUAACAAUAAAAGGUCCAACCCAACAAGAACGUAAUUUACCCGGAAAAAGUUUAAGCUUAGAAUGAAAAAGAAGAACUUUUUGACCAACAGAGAACUCCUUUCUCAAAAUCAUUGUAUCAUGAAAUGUCUUCGUCUUUUCCUUGUAAAAAACUUCCUGCACUAUAAGGUUAAUAACAUCCACAGAAAAUACCGAAUGUUCCUCACUAGGAUAUUUCAUGGCAUCAUUCAUAUUGAAUUCUAUAACCUCUCCAUCAAACUCCAUAGUGAGAGUCCCUUUAUGUACAUCCAUUUUAGUCCUAGCAGUCUUAAGAAAAGGUCUUCCUAGCAAAAUUGGGACAGAAUUAGAGGAGUUAUCAUCUUCCAUAUCAAGUACAUAAAAAUCAGCAGGAAAAACCAACUCAUUAACUUGUACUAAGACAUCUUCUAAUACCCCAUCAGGAUAUGCAUUAGACCUAUCAGCUAGUUGAAUUAUCACGCCAGUUUCUUUUAAUGCACCAAUAUUCAAAGACGAAUAAAUGGAACGAGGCAUGACAUUAAUAGAAGCUCCUAGAUCUAACAUAGCCUUUUCAACUUUGACAUUACCAAUUUUGCAAGGGAUAGUAAACAUACCUGGAUCCUUGCACUUAGGAGGUAGUUUCUUUUGGAGAACUGCUGAAACAUUCUCCCCCAUAUGAACUUUUUCAUCUCCUCUUAAUUUUCUCUUAGAGGUGCAUAGUUCCUUAAGGACUUUAGCAUAUCGAGGUAUUUGUUUUAUAGCAUCUAAUAAAGGAAUAUUUACCUCAACCUUGCGAAAUGUCUCAAGGAUGUCUUUCUCUUGUUCCUCCUUCUUGGAUUUUGCAAACCGGCUUGGAAAAGGAGGAGGUAUCACAAUAGGUAGGGGUUUCGCUCUGGUGGGUUGUGCAUCUUGAGAUUGAGGCAUCAAUUCAUUCUUCUCAAGCUCAUCUUCUACAUGCUCUGUCACUUUCUUACUAGGCUCUUGCAACUCCUUCCCACUUCUAAGGAUGACAGCACUAACGUUUUGCUUUGGAUUCACCUCAGAUUGUGAAGGCAAUCUCUCUAAUACUUGAGACUCCAGGCGGCUCAUUGUAGUCGCCAAUUGACUCAUUUGGUUCUCCAAGUUCUGAAUGCUUGUUGUAGUUGCCUGCUGAAAUUGUUGAGUGUUAGUCGCAAGCGAUUUAACAAUUUCUUCAAGAGAUAUACCUGACUUGGAGGUUGACUGUGGAGGUGCUGGUUGUCUUGGUGGAUACUGUUGUGGGAAUCCUGACGGCCUAACUCCAUAGCUGAAGUUGGGAUGAUCCUUCCAUCCCGGAUUGUAUGUUUGUGCAUAAGGAUCAUACCUCCUCUGAGGCAUGCCUGGAAAUCCUCCAACUGCAUUGGCUUGUUCAACGGGUUCUUCUUGAAGUGUAGGACACAUAUCAGUUGAAUGACCCAUAUUGUAACAAAUACCACAAGUCUUCACCUGUUGCACAUUACCUACAACAAACUUUUCCACAAGAGAAGUGAGUUUAUCUAAACGUUGUUCAACAGAAGAAAUAUUUACCUCAUUCACCUUCCUUGAAGUGGGAUCUUGCCUGCUGCCAAAUUGUUGUGUGUUGGUAGCCAUAUUUGAUAUCAACUCCCUUGCUUGAGUAGGAGUCUUGUUCACCAACACGCCUCCACUAGCAGCAUCUAUCAUACUUCUAUCCAUCAAUGAUAGUCCUUCGUAAAAAUAUUGAAUAAGAAGUUGAUCAGAAAUCUGAUGCUGAGGACAGCUGGCACACAAUUGUUUGAAUCGCUCCCAAUACUCAUACAAAGUCUCCCCAGGAAGUUGUCUAAUCCCACAAAUGUCUUUUCUGAUGUUGGCAGCUCUUGAAGCAGGAAAGUACUUCUCGAGGAACUGCUUCUUCAAAUCAUUCCACGUUGUAAUCGAUCCAGGAGGCAAGUAAUACAACCAGUCUUUAGCUAGCCCAUCUACAGAGAACGGAAAAGCACGCAGCUUAAUCUGCUCUUCAGUCACGCCUUGUGGUCUCAUACUUGAACACACAACAUGAAACUCCUUGAGAUGUUUAUGAGGAUCUUCACCUGAAAAACCAUGAAACUUGGGUAAUAAAUGAAUAAGACCAGACUUUAAUUCAAAAUUUACCUCCAAGUCUACAUAUUGAAUGCAGAGUGGUUGCUGAUUCAAGUCUGGUUCAGCUAACUCUCUAAGAGUUCUUUCUAUAGGUGCAGGUCUAUCCAUCACUUGUUCUUCCGAAUCGCUAGAUGAUUCAACUAAAUCAGGCACCGUAUCUGUUUCAGAAAGCAAAGGCGACGAGGAUCGUUGCUUAGCUCGCUUCGUCUGUUGUCUCAGCUGGCGAGCUGUCUUCUCAAUUUCAGGAUCAAACGAAAGUGUACCUGUACGAGAAGAACGAACCAUACACCAAGUAAAACGUAAAAAAGAUUAAAUAAAUGACACCAAUCCCCGGCAACGGCGCCAAAAUUUGAUGGGUGUCGAAGCCAACAAAAAUAAAUUCCUACUCUAAAUAAAUUGUGUAUAGUGAUUGAGCAGGGUCGUGUCCACAGAGAUCGGUAAUUAUUUAAAUCCUUUUGAAACGUAAAACGUAAAAUGGGGGAAUUGUUGACAAUAAUAAAAAUAAAAUUAAAAAUAACAAGAAUGCAAAUUAAAGUUGUAAUUCAAAUUGGAGAAAGCUCUGGUUGAAGGAAUUAGCUUAGCUUGAUUCGACUACUGAUCAUUGAUUCAAAUAUAGAUUAUUAUUACUCAUGAAUAGACCGGUUAUAGCUACUAAGACCCUCUAAUAGCCAAUCUCUCCUUAACUAGUCGAUAACCAAGGUACGACCGUUGGUUAUUUCCCUAAUCAAUAGACAACCCUAGAUACGAUCAUAGAAUUUAAUCAAUUGACAGCCUGAAAAACCAGAGAGACCCAAAUCCUAAUCAACACAUAUGAUGAUUCAUUUAAAUUAGAUUGUUUAUUCUCACAACACAACUCUCUGCUAUGUUAUUUGUCACAAACAUUAAAUUCUUCAUACGAUGAAUCCUUUAAUUGACAAUAGAUUAAGUUGAUAAUUAAAUAGUGGCCAAUUACCUAAUUAACAAACAUAAUCAUGAAAAUAAUUCAGAGAAUAAACAAAUACCCAAAAAGUAAUAAAACAAUUAAAGCACAAGAAAGAUCUCACAGUAGUGAUGAAUCAAAGCUUCAUUAACCUUCAACCAGAAAAAUGAGUUUAGUUCCUCAUAGAGAGAAGAGAAAAAUUAGAUCUAGGGUUUCUUUUCCUCCAAUCCAAAAAUCCCCCCUUUUUCACAAUAGAUUCCUCCCUUAAAUACUCUCUCUCUCUUCUUUUUUAGAAUUCUAUUUAAAAUAAAAUACUAAUAUCUGAAAUAUUAAGUUCGUAAUUACAAAAAUAACCAAAAAUACAAAACACGUUAAACUAAAAACUGCAGGUCCACAGUUGACAGCACGCGCCCACGCCUUAUCAACAAAGUUCUUCUGACGCUCAUAAUUUCUCCAAGAGAACAAUCCUCCUUAAACAUCAUCUUUUAGCUCAAUUUUAUCACCAAUCAAUAGAAUUGCACCUACAAAAGUAAAACACAAGUAAAACAUUAUUAUUAAGUGCAAAACAUCGAUAUUAAGGGAAGUAAACAAUGCAAAACUAGUGCAUAAAUUGCACUCUAACAGCUUACAAGUGCUAAGGCCAAAAAAUUAAUCUUGGGGAAGAAUUUAAUGAGUGACUUCUUAUUUUUAUAUCCUUAAAAUUUAUUUUUAAACCCUAGAUUUUGGAGAAAUACUUUUCUUAAGGGCUGGAAGCAAAUGUUUUAGAUUGGAAUUUGAAUGAGUGCAAACUAUGUUAUUGUCAGACAUCAAAAAUCAAAUUAGCAUUUAUUUUCUUGUCUUGUCUUUAGCUCCAUCAAGUUCGUUGAUGCAUGGUCUUUGAAUUUGAAGGUAUUAAAUCCAAAAUGGAUUCUCUCACAUCCAAUAUCAUUUUACUCUUAAAUUUAUCUAGUGAGCAGAUUUUGAUGCUUGAUUCAAGUAGAAAAACAAUUGUGAGGACUGUGAGGAUUUUUUUUUAAAUUAAAAACCGCCUUAAGAUGGGGUGUGGGUUUAGGCGGGACCCCUUCAUUAGUAAAUUAAUAAAAGAAAAGAAAAUUCAUAUGGAGAGAGAUAUAUGCCAAAACCUCGAAGCAUGGAAACAAAUACAUCCAAUAACUAGAAAAAUAACAAAAGCAAUAGAAGAUAGGACUAAUUAAUGCAACCAUCUAGAGAAUCGCUUCCAAUUCCUGCGGCUAGUAACCAAUGUGAAACCUUUCUUAGAAUUGGAGGCACGCGGUCCGGUCCGGCAAUACGAAAGUCAUCAAGAUCAUGCCCUCUAGUACCCUUAGGCUCAAAUGCAAAAUAUUCAUUAGUCACAGGAUUCCCAUCAGAGCUAAACUUCUCAUCAAAUUGAAAAAGGAUAUCUGUAGAAUGGGGAUUGAAGCCCACGAUCAUGGAGCGAAUAUCCUCUUCAGUAGCUCAAAAAAAAGUAGCAUCGAUGGAAGCCCUCUAAACACCUGGAUCAUCUAAAAAAGGAGGGUUAGAGACCUCAGUGCAUCCAGUAGCAUCUCUUAAAGCAGUAGGAUUCUUCAAACCAUCAUCAGUUUGAACUCUUUUCAUAGAAACCAGAUCAAACCCAUCUUCUGUAGUAUCCUGAUAAAUAGGUGACUGAGCAUCUAGAAGAGCACCCUCACUACCAUUCGACCUCAAUGGCUCAACCUCUUUGCCAUCCCCUUUGGAUGCACAAUAGCAUUAGACAUCAGCAUCUUGCCUUUAUCAUGAAGAACAAUAUCCCGCACCUGAUUAACUGGCUGCCAGGGCUCUCAGAGCCCAGGAUUGGCAACAAAAAAAGUAUCAGUAGAGUACCCAAGAUGCUUACACGAAGCAUAGUAUAAAGGAACACGCUCAAAAAUGACAUUCUGCCAGAAAAUGCCAUCACCUUCACUAGUCCAAAGUUUGGGCAACAACGGCCGCAAAACAUCCAACUCAAUCGGAACUCUAGUGAUCGAGGGUUGAUUAACAACAACAGUAGCAUGGUCCAUCCGUAGAGGCUUACCAAUAGCAUUAGCAAUAGAAAAUAAGACAUCUUUGCAAUGAAUAAAAUGCACUUGCAAAUACGGCAAAGAAACUCAAGUAAGAAGAAUAGGAGAUUCCUCAAAGCACCAAAAUGAAGUCUAUGAGACUACGCUACAUGAGACUCAAACACAAAGGCCUAAUUCUUGGUAAGGCUGCCCACCUAAAUCCACUUGGAAAAUGUUCAAACAUACUUUUGAUAAUGUAUUUUAGUCUGUGAGGGUUGACACAAUAGAAUUUGGAUUCGAGAUGUUUACGGUUGCGAAGCUUCUGUAAGUGUUCUUGGUCCAUUGUAAACUCACAUUAUUUUCAUAGUGAAUUGUUUCGUCUACAAGUGGACAUAAUAACAUGUCGAGAUUUUUAUCCUAAAUCGCGAGGAUCAAAGGUUUUCUUGUAAAAACAUCUAUGUGUUGUGGAUGUCCAUUUAUUUUGCAUAUUUAUUUUCAUUACCAUAAAUUGAUUUUUAAAUUUAUUGAUAGUGUUUAUUAAAUUAUCUUUAUUAACUAGGAAAUAAAAUCAUUAAUUUUAAAGAGAUUAUUAUUAUUAUUACCAAGUAUAUAAAGAUAAUGAAAUAAAAAAAUAAAACUAAUAAUAUAAAUAUUUACUUUAGUUAUCAAUUAUUAUAUAUACACACAAUUAAAAAUAUUUUAUAUACAUACAUUAUAAGUAUGAAAAUAAAUUUUAUUCAAAACUAUGUCCAAUUUAAUCAUUUAUAUUCUUGUCAUUUACAAUCUUAUUAUAAUUUAAUAGUAAGAUUUACCAAAUACAUAGAUUGUUUUUUAAACUCACAGAACUUUUGAAAAAUUGUAUCAAACGUUUAAUUGGUUAUCUUUAUAGUUGACUAUUUUUACAGUACAGUUAGCAGUAAUUAUUUUAAAAACUAUAAUAUUAACAAAAUGAUCCAACAUCUUUUAAGGACCCAGCUGAAAUUUAACUAAUACAGGUUUACCAUUACUAUAGAUUGCCGGUAGUUUUAACUAUUUUUAAUUAAUUAUUAAUAUCAACCGUUGGAUUCCAUUCCAUUCUAAUGGAAUCCAAUGGCUUCAGCAUGGGUGAUGGGCAGAGUGGCAUGGACGCGUAAUCAAUUGAAAAGCCAGAUAUUCUUCGCUUAGAUUCCUUGAAGCUUCCAGCAAGCUCGAUGCUAACUCCAUCGUGUGAGUAAUCGAUUGAAAAGCCAGAUAAUUUUCAUUUAGAUUCCUUGAAGCUUCCAGGAAGGUUGAUGGUAACUUCAUCAUUAGAGUAAACAAAGACGAUAUUUUUGAAGCAACAAAUAUGUUUCACUGAUUAACUUAGCUUUCUUUGAAGCAACACUUCAAUGAAAUUCAACAGGUAGCUGCCUGUGCAAUUAAUACACUCAAAGCUUUAAGAUUUAUUUUAAGUUUUAUCUUAUACAUGUUUCUCUCAAAUACAAGCUUUUAGCGCGGCAUGCAAAAUACACCCCGUUUAAAUCUAAUCACACCUCUCUAAUUUUUUUUUUUUUCGCCCCAAAGACGUAAUGGAGUAGUCAAAGGGUAUAACCAUUAGAUUCCUUUCGCUUUUUUGCUUUUUUCACCCCCACUUUCUGAGAAGACCAAGACUUGCUUUUGGAAUACAUAUAAAUAAAUCCGGGGGAGCUGGAAGUUGCAUUUUUGUUUUCCCUUUGAAUCAAAACACUUCAUCGGAGUUGAUCAGAUCAAUUAGGUGGCUUCUUUCAACACACUCAAAGCUGUAAGUUUUAUUUUAUCCUCAGAAUUAAUUUGCACAUUCUGGAUGUUUAGAACAGGAAAUAUAUAAAAUUGAAAGAAAGCUUUGAAUGUUUAAAUUAAUUUGUAUAGUAUCAACUCUUUAAUUUGCUUCUCUUUGAGGCUCUAAUUAAGAUUUGCUUGAGCAAAGGUCGGCAAACACACUCUCCAAUCAGAAUCUGAAAAACUUUUUAAUUAUAUUUUGGAAGUAAAUGAGAGGCUGUUAAUUAGUUUGUUUAGUUAAGAAGAAGAUCAUUAAUUUGUUGUUCAAUAAUUUUAUGCUAAAAGAAAUUAUCAUAGUAAUUAUAUUAUUUUCAUUUUUGUGCUGCCCAUAAUCUUGAAUGAAUCUUAUUGUUUGCAUGGUAUUUUACGCUCACUGGAUUUCACUUGAUUUAUUCUAAAUUUUUAGGAACAAAUUAAUAUAAUGGCUUCCACGAGCUUCCAAAAUGUCUCUCAUGGGGAAUACGAUGCCUUCUUAAGCUUUAGAGGAGAAGACACCCGUAAAAUGUUCAUAGGUCAUCUCUAUACUGCCUUGAACAAUAAAGGAAUUUAUGUAUUCAGGGAUGACAAACAACUUGAGAAAGGAGGAUCCAUUUCACCAAAUCUCCUUAAAGCAAUUGAAGAAUCAAGAAUUUCAAUUAUUGUUCUCUCAAAAAAUUACGCUUCUUCCACUUGGUGCUUGGAUGAACUUCUUAAGAUUGUUGAAUGCAAAAAUAGAGAGGAUCAAAUUUUUCCAAUUUUUUAUGAAGUGGAACCAACUGUUGUAAGAAAACAAACAGCAAGUUUCGGAGAAGCUUUUGCUAAACAUGAAGAAUUUUUCAGGGAUAAUAUAGAAAAAGUGCAAAAGUGGAGACACGCUUUAAAGGUGGUGGCCAAUAUAUCAGGCUGGGAAUUGAAGGAUAGGUAAUCAUUCUUUUUCUCAACUAUUAAUUUUGUUCGUUUUGCAAGAUUAGUAACUACAAAACAGAUUUUAAUAUUCAUUCAACACUGUUUUCAAUUAAACAACUUCUAUUUAAUACAUAUGUAUAUCGUAUGAUGUGUAGUAAAAGGGUUCCUCCCGUGAAUUGAAUAUCUUUAAAAUAUACCUUCACUUUUGAAAACUUCAAUUUACCUCCCAUUUUUGUUAAGAAUACAAAAACAUUUCAUCAACUCACCCCAUUUUUCCUUCUCUUUUGAACAAAAAUAGGGUAAUUGAGGUGUUCAAAAGGGAGUGAUUUGAAGAUAUAUAAAAUUUUGAAAUUACCAAUCACAAUGCAACCCAGUCCAAUCCAAUUUUUAUUGGGUUGGGUUUGAAUUUCUCAUUCCAAUUGUUGUUGACUGAUGUAAUAAUAACAUAUUGUUUAAUUAUAUGACUUCAAUUUGAUGAAAUGAAUAUUGCAUAGUUUGGAUUUUAUUCAUAAUAUGGAAUUGAUUUGUUACUACGUUCAUACUAACUUUGAUUUAACAAUACCAAUCUUUUCUUGUUGUUUUCAAUCUGCAGGAAUGAGUCAGAAUUUAUUGAGGAAAUUGUCAAUGUCAUAUCUAGUAAAAUUCGUUCAGAACCAGAGAUUCUUAAGGAGCUAGUAGGAAUGGAAUCACGCUUGGAGAAACUGAGGUUUCUUAUGGGUACGGGGUCUAAUGAUGUUCGUAUGAUCGGGAUAUGGGGUAUGGGAGGUCUAGGAAAGACAACUCUUGCAAGGGUUGUUUAUGACUUGAUGUCUCAUGAGUUUGAUGGGAGUAGUUUUCUUGCCGAUGUUAGAGAAAAAUUUGAAAAAGAAGGCAGUGAAAUCUCUUUACAAAAACAGCUCCUUUCUGAUUUACUGAAGCUUUCAGAUUAUAGCAUACAGAAUGUCUACGAUGGUAUUAACAUAAUUGGAAGUAGGCUGCAACGGAAAAAAGUUCUUCUCAUAAUUGAUGAUGUGGCUGAUGUUGAACAAUUACAAAGGUUAGUUGGAAGGCGUGAUUGGUUCGGUCCAGGCAGCAGGAUUCUAAUAACAACGAGAGAUAGACAAUUGUUGGUGGCACAUGAAGUGGAUGAAGAGCAUAUUCUUGACCUUGAUGUACUAAAUAACGAUGAAGCUCUUCAACUCUUUAGUAUGAAAGCUUUUAAAAGCCAUCAGCCUAUGGGAGAAUAUGUGGAGCUGUCUAAACGUGUUCUGGAGUAUGCUGGUGGUCUUCCAUUAGCUCUAAAAGUUUUGGGAUCCUUUCUAAUUGGUAGAUCUGCAGAUCUAUGGAGAAGUGCCCUAGAAAGACUAAAAAAAGAUCCUUCAAAUAAGAUUAUGAGUAUACUUCAAAUAAGUUUUGAAGGACUACAAGAUUCAGAGAAGAAAAUAUUUCUCGAUGUUGCAUGUUUCUUUAAAUGGAAGAAUAGAGAUUAUGUAACAAAAAUUCUAGAGGGGUGUUGUUUUUCCCCAGCCAUUGGAAUAGAAGUUCUUAUCGAAAAGUCUCUAUUAACUGUUGAUGACGACAACAUACUGCAUAUGCAUGAUUUGUUACAGAAAUUGGGACAACUGAUUGUUACGAGACAAUCCCCCGAAGAACCUGGGAAACGUAGCAGAUUAUGGAAGAAAGAAGAAGUACGCCAGGUGUUGAUAGAAAACACAGUAAGUGAAUUAUUAAAUGAAAAACUUGUUGAUGCUUGCUACUUUAUUUUCCCCAAUUAUAUCUCUGACCAAAUUUUCAACAUCUUUACAUUAUUGUUUUAUUCACUCAUCCUUUGCUUAUAAUCUUUAGGGAGGUGAAGUAGUGGAAGGAAUAAUAGUUAAUGCCUACUUUCCUGAAGAUGAGGUUUACUUAAGUGCAAGUGCUAAAGCAUUUUCGCAGAUGACCAACCUAAGACUGCUCAAAAUCAGUAAUGUGCAACUUCCUGAAGGUCUAGAAUACCUCUCUAACAGGUUGCGAUUACUUGAUUGGCAUCGGUAUCCUUUGAAAUCUUUGCCAUCAAAUCUGCAAUUGGAUAAAAUUGUUGAAUUUAAAAUGUGUUACAGCCGCAUUGAAGAAUUAUGGAAAGGAUUCAAAGUAAGAUCAAUUUUUUUUUUGUCACAAAUUUAUAUUUUUCAGAGAAUAAUUGUGGAUAACAAUUUUAUUAUUAU